AGAAAAUUAAUAUCACUCUGAAUAUAGAUAAAUAUAAUAACACCAUCACUUUAUUAUUAUUUAUUAUUGUAGUACAUAUCACAAGUUCAAAGCUACACCAUCACAUAUAUAUCGUACACACAAUAUAUAUAGUGAUCAAGCUUUUUUAUUUAAGAAAUACAAUACCUUAUGGAUGGUUUUAGUUUAUUUGAACUUAACAAUUAUUCGGGAUGACAACAUUACAAGCACUAGCAACCUCUCUAGCUCUAGGAGAGUUAACAUAUUGACUGUAAUCUGGGUCUCUGAUGUAUUCACAGAAGCAUGGGGUUUGCUCCCUCAAUUUGGAGCAACAUUCAGCUGAAGGUGUAGAAUUGAAAAUAAUUGCCCCAGCACAUGGGAGCAAUUCAUUUGGGUCACAAUUCUGAGCCUCAGCAAUGGUAGCCACUUCAACCAUAAGCACUACCAUAAGCAUCAAUGCACACACAACCUUCAUGUUCAUCAUUUUCACUACUUGAUUUCUAAUUAGCAAGUAAUUGGACAAAUUUUAGAGUGAAGUAUACUUGAUUAUGGCUAUGUAUUUAUAAGCAUGGAAAAUUACAAUGGCUAUAUGGUUUGUUAAUUGCGCCUUAAAUGAAUUAUUUAGCCGGUCAUCUGUCAAUACGUACACUUUUUUUUUAUUUUUAAUAUUUUUAAUCAUUUAAUAAGAAAAUUUAUAAAAAAAUAAAAUAAAAAAAAUAAAAACUGAUAUUUUGAAAAUAUCUUUCAAGAAAAAUUACACAACUUCUUAUAUGUUUUUUUUGGCUAAAGUGCACUUUUACCCCCCCUAACUUUCAAAAACUUACAAUUUUGACCCCCUAAGUACAAAAACUACAAUUUUGGCCCCCUAAGAUUUAGCCCCAUUGCAAAUUUGAUCCUUUUGGUCAAUUUUGACAUAGUCAACGCAUGCGUGGCAUGCCACGUGUGUAAAUAAUAAAUUACAAAAAAAAUAAAAUGUCAUAAAAUCAUUUUAUAAAUUAAAUAAAUAAAAAAAGAUAUUAAAUUAUAAAAAAAAAAAAAUCAGAAAAAAAUUAAAAUUAAAAGGAAGGGAAAUGAAAAAGGAAGCAAGGUGAUGAACUCUCGCCGGAUCUUAUCUCCGGAAAGAGUCUCCCCCCUUGGAAGACGUCGCCGCCGUUCCCAAUGACAACCCCUCCUGAUACAACUUCGCCACCGUCAAGAUCUUGUAGCUUUCGUGCACCUUCCUUGGACGGGCAAAAGUUAUGGUGCAUAAGUUAUUUCCUUAUGCACCGUGCAUAAACACAUCACAACCAUCAGAUUUCUUUUAUUUUGAAUAAAAAUGGUUUUGGUUCACUUUGGGGGUGUAGGAAGCAAUUAUGUUGAGAUUUAUGCACGGUGCAUAAGGAUUUCCUUAUGCACCAUAACCACUCCCCCUUGGACGACGGCCGCAUUCUCGUCGAUUAUAACAUCCGGAACAAAUCCACUCUCCACCUUGCUCUUCGUCUUCGUGGUGGAGCUAAGAAGCGUAAGAAGACCUUCACCAAAAUUUCUCACAAUCGGGUCAACAUGAAUCUGGGUCGGGUCGGUUUCUGGAACUGAAGCUGAAACUUUUGCUGCUGAAGAAGUGGAUGAUGUUGAUGGAGAAGAUGAAGAUGGUGUUGUUGAACGUUUAGAAUUUGAUGAACGUUUUGUAACUUUUCUUGUUCCAACACCAACUGGUAUGUUCCUUAAAGCACCACCUUUUGCCCAAUAUCUUUUGCAAUGUUCUUGUUCUGGAAAAUUUGAUUUCAUGGGUUGAAAUGUUGUUGGGUCUUGCAUUUUUAUGUCACUAAAAGGUAACAACUUGAAUAAAAAUAAAACUAAAAAGUAACAACUUUGAUUAGAAAAUGAAUACAAUUUUGUGCCUUUUGAAUUAAUUUUUUUUUUGAAGAUUGUUACGAAGACAUGAAAAUUGAAGAUUAAAGGUUUUUUAUUCUGGGUUUGGAUUGGAAGAGAUGACAAAUGAUGAAUGUGUAUUAUUUUGGAUUUUAUUUUAAAUUUUUUCUGAUUUUUUAUAUUAUUUAAUAUCUUUUUAUAUUUAUUUAAUUUAUAAAAUGAUUUUAUUAUUUUUAAUUUUUUUAAUUCAUUAUUUACACGCGUGGCAUGCCAUGCAAGCGUUGACUAGGUCAAAAUUCCCAAAAGGAUCAAAUUUGCAAUGAGGUUAAAUUUUAGGGGACUAAAAUUAUAGUUUUUGUACGUAAAGGGUCAAAAUUGCAAAUUUUUGAAAGUUAGAGAGGGGAAAGUGCACUUUAGCCUUUUUUUUUUACAAAGACAACAUCUUAUAUGUUAUUAUUUGUGUUUAUAUAUUAGUAGAAAAAGUUAGUCAAAAUAUAUAAUAUGAAUAAUAUAUUUCAUUCUAUAUUAGUUGUUUAGGACGAAAGGAGUACUUUUUAAAAACAAAACUAGUGUACCUUCCUUCUUCAUAUGUAAUAUCAUAGGUUAAUCAUCUCAGUUAACCGAGAUGUACUCUCUCCGUCCUUUUUUAUAAAUAUCCUUUGACAUUUUUCACAUAUGUUAAACAAAAUUGGUAGUGUAAUCAGUGUUUGCAUCUUAUAUAUUAUUUUUACUAAAUUAACCUUUGCGUAUAGAUAGAUGUAUUUACAAUUGACUUUUCAUAUUUAAAAACAAAGUACUACUAUUGAUUGAGACUCUCUCUCUCUCUCACACUCAUUAUAAGGUUAAUCUUUCUUCUCACGGGUGCUAGAUUUGAAUAGAGUACCACAACGUUGAAAAGUGAUCUAUCUACCAAAUCGGCGAUUCAGAAAACUGACUUUAAAAGAUUAAUCUUUGCCUAUAUAUAUUUGAAUGGACCAAUGAUUGUCCCUUCAUCACAUAAAUUUCAUCUCUAGAUCAUCAAUUCAAAAUGAGAAGUUCAAAACCUGCCAAACUUGUAUUUAUAUUAUAAUUAUUUUAAAAACAUAUAUACUUUUUUUUAUGAAAUGUUAACUAAAAACAUGUGAAACCCAAUGCAUUUCCAUUUCUUGAAAAUGAAAAAAAAUUGGCACAAGGUUUUGGUUCCAUCCCCCUUUUUUUUUUUGUACUCUUUUUAUUUGAAAUGAAUUAAUGCACUUGCAUCAUUAUCUAGAAAAAGAAAUUUUAAUAAAAAAAUUAAUUCAACAUUUUUUUUUAGUUUUCAUUAGAGUUAAUCUUAUUCGAGUUAUAGCGAACACUGAAGAUAGAUACUUCUCUAAGCUGGGAUUAUAAAUAAUUUUAAAUAAUAAAUUAUCAUAAAUAAAAGUUGAUAUCAUUUUUGCUUAAACAAAUAAAUUUAUAAUAAUUAUAAAUAUUUUCAUUUAGAUAACUUUAUUUUACUUAUAGCCUAACUAUAAAUACUUGUAAAAAAAAAUACUUUAGGACCCAACAGGACAAUCUUGUUAACUAUCAUAUAUAAUUUUUAAAAUAAUUAUAAUAUUAACUUAGUUAGUAAGGACAUUGUAUAAUAUAGGCAGGCGUCGAUGUUCGAACUCCAUACAUCUCAUUUAUUCAUUUUUAAAAUGAAUUUUUAACCAUUAGAUUACUUAAUAAAAAAAAAUUGAUAUUAAUAUAUCUUUUAGGGUUAAAUAUAUUUUUGGUCCCUAUAAAUAUACCAACUUUAUGUUUUAGACCCUCUAAAAAAUUUCUUUGAUUUUUAGUUCCUCAUAAGUUUUCCAUCAUCACUUUUGGUCCUUCCUUUUGAGUAAACUCAUAUGUAUAAUUCAUAUUUUUUAAUAAAAAAUUUCAGAAAAUAUUAUAAGAAACUAUCCAAAAAAAAUAGAAUUUUUGAACAAAACAUGAAUUAAAUACGAAUUUUUAUAUUUUUGGUGGUUAAAGUUUCAUAUUUAAUUCAUAUUUUGUUGAAAAAUUCUAAUUUUUUUAGAGAUUUUUACUAUAUUUUACACAAUUUAGUUAAAAAAUACAGUUGCUAUACAUAAAUUGACUUAAUAAUAGAGACUAAAAAUGGUGAUUAAAUUUUUAUAAGGAUUAAAAGUCAAAGAAAAUUUUGGAAAAAUUAAAAUAAAAAAUUGAUAUAUUUAUAAAAAUGAAAUACAUGUUUGACGGUAUUUUUUAUAUCAUGUUGGUUUUAGCACGUUUGUUUGACAAUUUGUAAAAUAGUAUAGCUAUAAUAUAGCUACUUUUAAUCGUACAUGAAUUUACGGUAUUAGCUUAGCUAUUACUACUCCUACAUGGUCGUAGACUAUACCAUACGAUCGCUGUUAUAAAUAAAAAUUAAAAUUUUAGAUUAAUUCAAUUAAUGAUGUUUAUGAUAUUUAUCAUAAAUCACAUAUAUUAUUUAAUGAAUAAUUUUUUUUACAAAAUUUAAUGAAUAAAUCUAAAAGUUGAUUUUUUUUUUUAAAAUAAUGACCAAGUGGUGUAUAUUGGUAGAGAGUCAUCUGGGGCCCACAGUACUUUGAGUUUGGUUUGAGUUUACUUGUAGCUCUUGAAAAUACAGAGCAAAAUAAAAGAAUUCUCUUUUAAUUAUGAUAGUAUCCGUAAAUCGCACGGCUAAGUUUAUAUGAGAUUAAUUAUUAUAAAAUAUGAGAUAUAUUAUUAAAAUCAUAGGUGAUUCAUCCCGUACAAAGUGUGCCGAAAGUUAACCCCUAAAAAAUUACAAGGUUAUGAUGGAGCGGGUGCCUACAACAAAUGACACCGGCUUCUUGAAGAACAAUAAAUUACAUAGUAACACUCAUACAAAGGAGCGGGUGGCGCCACCAUUCAUGGUAGCUAAAAAUGAACAAAGCAUUAUUAGAUUUCAGCCAAAGGAACGAAUUCAGCUUAACUUUAUCAAUGAGAGCAACAGGAUCAGAAGCCACGUAGUUGAAAAUACGGUCAUUCCUCUCUUUCCAGAUUACCCACACACAAGCAAGCCAAAUUACUUUGAAGAAUGGAUAAGAAGAUCGAGGCAUACCUGCCAUAUGAGUAAACUGAAUAAAAUGUUCACCAAUCUCACCGACGACAACAUGAGAAAUGUCGAGCCAUUGCCACAACAUAUUCCAAAUGGUACCAUAGAUAUCGCAUGCAAGAAAAAGGUGAUCUGCCGUCGAUGUAAGAUUUUUACAUGUCAUAAAACCAUUUACACGUAAGUAUAAUAGGAUCGUUUUUGCAAGGGGUUGCGCAUUUCAUAAGCAUUUUCACAAUAUUUGUCACAUUAAGUGUUUGGGUAUAAAUUGUUUGUUUGUGUGAAACUAUUUUCCUAUUCGACAUAAAAGUAAAACGAGAAGAGAUAGGGCUAUUUCGCUUGCGGUCAGAAACAUCAACCAAGCGUAACACCUGCAAUCUCUCGAUCGAUUAACGGAUUCUAGCUUUUUAAACGAUAUUAACACAAUCAUUUGACAAUAUCAUUUGUGUCCAAAUGAUAUCGUUAUUUUUAAGAGGUCGUUUAAACAUCGAUUCUCCAAACAUUUAAACAAUAAAAAAGUCGAUUGAAUAGUUUAAUCGACGAUUUCCCAAAAGCAUUAAGUUCUAGAUUAAAAGUGAUUAUCAAAUACUAACAUCCAUGUCUAGAUUGAUAACUUAAGAUAGAUUGUUAUUCUAGUUCUAGAUUCAAAAGUAUGUGUCCAUAUCAUUUUGAAUCUCAAUAAAACAAUAAAAGCAAGAAUAACAACAAUAUUGAAUAAAUAGCUAGAACCAUAUAUUAAAUGAUCAAAAGAUUACAUAAUAGCCUGUUCGAAUACCUCAAAACCACAAGAGUAGAUGUAGCUAGAUAUGUUUAUGAUAGCUUUGUAAAGGAUUAAGAAAAGAUGAAGAUUCCAUGACAAGAUCCAUGAUGUCUCAACAAAUCUUGGCUUGAAUCUACUCCUAACUACCUUGCUUUGUGUUUCUCUCUCUAGAAAAGCCCUAGUCUCUCUCUAAAAACCAGAAAAAUGUAAUGGAAUAAUGUGGAAAGGGAAGAGAAAACUAUUUAAUUAUAUGGGCAAAAUCCGUGACAUUUCGCUUGCGCGAGAUGCAUCUCGCUUGAGCGAAGCACCUAAAAAUUCCACUCUGGCCAGUGAAGAUAUGCCACGUGGACCUUAUCCUCUGAAGCUGCUAAAACUCGCUUAAGCGAACUGGAAGCGAGCUUGAAAGCGAAUCCUGGAAGUGCUCUCUAGACAAAUUUCGCUUAAGCGAAGUGGCUUCUACUUAUGAACUUUGCUUGAGCGACUGGAAAGCGAGAUUGGAAGCGAAACUGACUGUUGCUCCCUGGAACUUUCUCGCGUAAGCGAGUUGAUCUCGCGUACGCGAGAUGUCUCUUCACUAGCAGGGAAGUGGAAGCGAGUUGGCUGCGAGAUGAGGAGUUGCUCCCUGGAACUUUCUCGCGUAAGCAAGAUGAUCUCGCGUAAGUGAGUUCUGCUUGGCUUGGAAUAUUGUUUCUUGGUCCUUGCUUGCCAUUCCUGCACCAGUUGAGUAGAGUAAAACAUUUAAAGCAUAAAUGGUAAGAUCACAACAAUUGAUUGCUUUUCCUUAGAUAACUUGCAUAACAAGUCACUGUAAUGCAUAUUUUAACACAUGAAAUAUAUUACUUUUGAGCACUUAUCACGUCUCGGACAUGCCGCAUCCACCAACGCACAUAAUGUCGAUAAGUUGUAGCACUCGCCGACGCGCGAAGUUAGCCUUAGUAGGCAAUUGAUCUCGAAGUAGUCGCCAAGCAAAAUUUUUAAACCUUGGAAGGAACAUACUUGUGCCACACUUGAUGACUGCGGCUUCUAACCAAAGACUCGUCAAAUGCCGUAAGAAAAUGAUAAGUCCCACACGCUAAAUAGCCUUGAAUAAAUGGUAUUUAUAGUUAUAGCUUUUAAUUUUCUUUGUUUUUAAAUGUGGUACAUUGAUUUUACACAACUUGCGAGACAAAUAUAUCUAACUUUUAUGCGUUAAUAAAAUACUAUUUUCGUCUUAAAUAAUAGUCGUUUAAGAUUUUUUAAAAAUAAUUAGUUGUGUUGAUUUUAAUGGUAAAAUUAAUUUUCAUUUACUAAAAUAUAUUUAUUAAUAGUAGUUAGUAGAGUAGUUAAAUUAGAUAAAUUUCAAUAAAUAAGAAUAAAAUUGUAGAAAAAGAAUAUAAAUGCUACAUUGAUAUUUUAAGGUGAUAAUUAUUUUGAGACAAAAAAAAAUAUAUAUUAAAGAGACAAUUAUUUUAAGACAAAUGAAAUAUAUAAAUAACAUUAAUUAACGGUUGUAUUUAUAAAGUAUAUAUUCUUGUUGUUGUAACACGUAAAGAGUUAUUCAAUAAAAAUCAUAUCCACGCAGUAUUAACUAUAUAAUAAUUCAUGGUUUUUUAUUUGAGCAUUUUCUUCCGUUUGAAGGUUUUGGGGGGUUUUUCCAACAAGUUUCAUUUGACUUUUAAUAUUAUUUGGAUUUCAACUCAUUUUACUAUAUGGAAGGACCACAGUAUGAGGCAUUUUCACAAUAAAUUUGAACUGCUAUCUAUCUUGGAAAAGAUUAAACUUCAACUCUUUUGGUGGUUUAAAUUUCAUUAUGAUGUUUUGGAUUUUAAGUAUUCGGAGGUCAAAAUCUUUUAUUAUGUUUUCAUAUUGUAACAUAAUUUUAUUCUUCUUAGCUAUUUUGUGGUUGCAUGUGGAUCCUCUUAUUGUAAUUUUUGAAUACUUAAGCUUCCUUUGGUAUACCUUGUGCUAGAGGAGCCUGUGUUAGUUUUUAUAAUAUUUUGUUUAGUUUCUUAGAUAAAAAACUAUAUAAUAAUUCAUAAAUUUUAUUAGUAUCAAUUAUGUGGACCUAUAAACAAAAAAAAAAAUAACUAUUUAGAGUUGGAAAACAAUAAAAAUGAAUUAAAAAAUAAAAUAAUUAAAAUAUAUACACUUAAUCAUAAUAAUUUUUUUUAUUUAUCUAUAGCAAAUUAUUCAUCCGUGUUUUUUUAUAUUUAUUAAUGACAAGUAAUAUGGGUUCUAUCUUUACAUAAAAAAAUAAUUUUUAGAAAUGUAUAUUAUUAUUUUAUAAGAAAAGAAUACAUAUUAUUUUAAAAUAAAAUGUCUUUUCUUAAAAACAAUCAAAACACAUUCCUAUUGUAAUCUAUGUAUGAAAAUUGAUGAAUCUUCUAUGCAUUUGUUCCUCCGUUGUCCCUUUGCAGUGGAGCUUUGGUCUUGGAUUGGGGGUAAGCUGAAUUGUUCACUUGAUCUUGUUUCCGUUGUUUCCCUUCUUGUGUGCAUCUCUUUCCGUUAUUCUUCUCAGGCCGCGGACAUCUAUGUGGCUGUCGUGGUUCACACUUUACAUAUCAGAUGGAACCUUCAAAGUUUUAUAUUUCAUCUGAGAACACAAGGUUUGAAUAUAUUUUAUACUUUAAAGAUGAUUUCUAUCACAAGUUUAUUUCAUACUUCAUAGUUAGUACACAUAAAAAACAGGAGUUACUUAUUAGCGGCAAGCACUUUAAAACUACACCAGGAAAGUUCAAUAUGCCUGUCCCUUCUGAUAAGUGCAGGAUCAAGCUUCUACACAUUAUUAUUUGCGAAAACAAUCAACCUUUUCCAUCCAAGGUAGUAGUGCCAGAACUAAACAAGUUUAUAAUCAAAAUUAGUGAAAAAUCACUGUUAACAUAGAGGAAAACAAUCAUAGUGAAAAAUUAACAAACACACAGUAACACAAACAUUUCAUAUUUCGACUUGAUACAAAACUGAUCCUAAUAUUAUCAAUCAUUUUACUUGGAGGCUUUCCAAUUAACAAACAAACACAGUGAACAAAGUAGCAUAUUUUACUAGCAUAUGAAUAUAAUCCAGAAGUGAACAAAGUCAUAAAACCAUCACAUAUUCACAAUUUAGUACAGUUUCACACAUAAUAUAAAAAUUCAAAGGAAUUCUAAGAAUUCAAAUACCAUGAUCAUUGUACAUCCAUAGUUCCUCUCCCCCCACCAACACUCUCUUUCAUAUAUACUUUUUUAGAUUCUCAUGUGUGCACAAGUCCCUCAUCUAACAAGAGUUCAACAGUUUGGUUCAGUUUUUGGUUUUUUUGCUCACCCCUAUAGAUAAAAGUAUGCGUUUCUUGGUUUUUAAGGGAGCAGCUGUUUGUUUUGAAUAUUUAACUCACAGGUUGCCCUUAUUCUUUAUGUAUAUUCCAGUCUCAUUAUUUUGUGUUGGUUUUUGCUGCUAGUUUUUAUAGGGGUUUUUAAAGGUAAUUUUGAGAGGAUCAUGGGUGAACCCCUAAUAUUAAGGACCAGGGACUCCCUUUUAGUUGUGGGGUUUUUGUUGUUUCUAAGGUGAUCCGCCUAUAUAUUGAGUCUUGUUCGUUUUGUUUGUGGCUUCAUUCCGCGGAUUUUGUGUGUGUGUCUUGCACAAACUUAUCGAGAAUGAUAUUUGAUGUUUAAUAAAAAAAGAUAAACAAACAAAAAAUUGAUUAUGUUUUUCAUAAAAUCUCUAAAUUAUUAAAUGUUAAAAUCAUUUUUUUAAUCUAUAAAAUACGAGCCAUUAUUGAAUUUACAUUUAAUAAAAAUAAAUUUUAUGAUGUUCUAGUGCUUUUAUACUACAAUGAAUCUAUUAAUUCGACACAAUAUAACUACCCUUCUUAUGAGAUUUUCUUUUUUAGGUACUCUUUUGGUAAUUCAUUGAAAAAUUAUUCCCGAAUUAUGAAAGUUAAUGACUAACCAAAACACUCCAUCCUAAUCAUUUGUGACCUCAACUUAAUUUAACCAUUUUGUGUCUUAUAUAACCAAAAAAAAUCCAUUUAAAGGCGAGACAAAAUGUCUGUCAAAAGAUUCAGAUGGUUUUGUACCAAAAAUAUUAUUUUAUAUAGUUUCGUUUUGACAAAAAUAAAAGAUAUUCAUUCAUUAAAUUAAAAUUAAUAGAGUACAUCGAUACAAUACACAUCCAAAGUUGUUAGAGACUCCUCCCUAAAAACUUCUAGUGCUUGCCUUCCUUUUAUCCGCUUCGUUCUUAAUCCAAAAUUAUGAAUGAGAGGGAUUGCAUUUAUAGGUAUAACACUCAAAAUAAAGUUGUCUAAAAUUUUUAUUCCAGCGUUAAAAUUUCAUAUUGGAUGCAUUAAAUUACAACACAAUUGCUGUCAGAAUGCAAACAUAACAUAGACAUAUCUCAUACUGUUACAAUAAGUACAAACUGAUGCAUACAUGAUACAUGAUUUUGGUGAAAAUACAUGUACUAACUAAUGAGUACAUCAUAAACAAGAACAUAGUCAGUGUAUAACAUCACGGCAACUAGUACAUAAACUAAUAAAUGAAACACGUCAGCAUAAUCAUUCAGUUGUUUUCUCCUUACCCUUGUCACAAGCCUUAGUCACCUCACCUGUGUAUCUGUAAUAAAAUAAAAAGGGAUUGGGAUGAGACGUAAUAUCUCAAGUGAGCUCCACCUAUCAAGGGUAAUAGUGAUCAUUGGGAAAACUAAGAUCAUAGUUUGUAAAUUAUCAUGGUUCAUAUCAUGUUUCAUGCUAAUUAAUUAAAUAUGUUAGCAUGUAUCACACAAUAAUAUCUAUGUUGAUUUUAUGGAAUGAUUGGGCGGAAUAAUCCUGAACAUCCCUCUAACUAUUCUACUAAAAUGCUCACCAAUCAGGUUAAAAUCGGAACUUCUAUUAUCGUCGUGCAAGAUUUCCAUAUCGAAAGAAUACUUAUCCAAUACUAAUGCGGAAUCUCGAAGUCCAAUUCUGAUGUGGAACAUCGAUCGACACAAUUUAGCAUAUAAAUGAAUUCUUAUAAACAUAUUAUUCUUAUCAUCAUAUACCCACAAUUCAUAGUUUAGUGAUAUUCCGGUAUUGCCAAAGCCAUAUCUCAUUCACUCUCACAUUAAUAUACUAUCACUCUAGAACCCGAAACAUUCACUUACACAACACAUAACAGGUUUUUACAGCAUUUUUCACUUGGUAACCGGUUGUACAUGUGUAACCGGUUACCUAAGUUGUUGGAGAGUGUGAAACCGGUUGCGCCAAUUGUGUAACCAGUUACACAACAUAGAAAAUCAGUUUUUCUCCCGACAAACUUUGUGUAAUAUAUCGAAUGCAAGCUUGUAAAAGUGGCCAUGUGAUAAGUAACGAUAGUAUUCCCUCUGUUUCUAAAUAUAAGCAAAUUUGACUUUUUAGGUUCAUUCAUUUAAUGAUGUAUGUGGUCCACAUACAUAAUUAAAUAAAUGAACCUAAAAAGUCAAUUUUACUUAUAUUUAGAAACGGAUGAAGUACAUCAUAAACAAGAUGCAUUAUUGGGAAACUAAACAUACAUAAAUUAAGCCUAACGUACAUGUUAGUUUUCUCACAUACACGUAAUCAUACACUACCCAAUGGUGGGUUCUAGCUAAGGAACUCGUCUAAGAAUAAUCUGGCAACUUUGUAAGCUUCCAAACCAAACUCUAGGACCCAAGCUUCUGCAUUAACCUAACUUUUAUUUUCUUGCAUCUAAUCAUCAAAAUAGAGAGUGACUGAGUGAGGCUCGACCAAAAGAGGAGAAAAGGGAAAGGAUUAAGUUUGCAUUAGGGCUUGAAUGCUCCAAAUAUAUACAAUAAAAACAACUUAUUUGCAUGCAUUGAAUCUUGCACACCUUAUUUUAUUGUGAUUUAAAGCAUGUUGACUGAACUCCAUAAGCUAACUUUAAUUUGAGUUAGGAUCAGGGACGGAUCCGCCAUAAGACAUGGUGUGGUUGUUGCCACACCAGAUUAUUUCUCAAUUUUUGUUCUUCAUAUAUUUGACUUAAAUAAUAAUAAAAUAUAAUUAAGUCGUUUAAAUAUCACAGUUCCUUUCUUGGCCUAGCAGUAUGUGUUUUAUGGAUGAUUUAUGUGUUGUGUUCAACUCCCGGUGGGUCCGUAACACCAUGGUAAAAUGCUCUCAUCCAAACCAUUUUGUUGUAGUGUUUAAGGUGUCAAUAUUUUACUUUGUUAAUAUAUAUAGUUGUUUUGGAAAUUUUAUCACACCAAUAUCAAAUGUCUGAGUUCGCCCCUGAUAAGGAUCCUUUUCUUUUAUCAUAAAUCAUGAUAAAUGAAUGAUGUUAUAGAUACAAAAAGUAGAUGAGAUGUGUUCUACUGAGUACAACCAUCAUUAAUUAUUUUAUAAUUGUUUUCAAACUUUUUAUAUUUUCUCUUUGCAAAUUGAAUAAAUAGAGAUAAUUUUAAAUGUAGAGAUCCGUCUCUCUUAUUGUUGUGAGCAUCUCAUAUGCAAUUGUUGUGUGCAUAUAAUUGUGAAGGAAGACUAAUAUUCCAAAGAACUAAAAUCUGUUUAAGAAAUUUUUGACUAAUUAACCGAUUUACGAAAACAAAUACUCCCUCCGUUUUUAAAUAUAAGUAAAUUUUACUUUUUAUGUUCAUUCAAUUAAUUAUGUAUGCCACAUACAUCAUUAAUUGAAUAAACCUAAAGAAUUUUAGAGUAGAUUGUGUUCCACACAAAAUUAUCUACUUUUCUAAUUUUGUGUGCAUCAGAAGUUAAUUAAUUUCAGUUAGCCUAUAGCAUAGUGAAAACCACUUUAUAACUUAACAAAAAAAAAAAAUCCGCUUUAUAAUAAAUAUCUUCGCUUAUUUACCACACUCACUAAAACCUAUUUUAAUUUGUUUCGAAACUUCUAAAAAUAUUUUCACAUUUUAAUCAACUUUUUUUUAGGUUUUAUUAAUUUAAAAGCUUAAAAGGCACAUACAAAAUCAUAAAAUAAAAUAAAAAUUAAAAAAUGUGAUUUUUCUAUGAAAUAGUCGGUAGCAAAAUUGUAAAAGAAAUUCGGUAGCAUAGUGGCUCUAAAAUUCUUCAACACAAACUUAUUAAAAUAUAUCAGAGUUAAUUUGUAGGAGCAAAUUAAUAUCACUCUGAAUAUAGAUAAUAUAAUAACACCAUCACUUAUUAUUCAUCAUUGUUAAGUACAAAUCACAGGUUCAAAGCUACAAUACAUCAGAUAUAUAUUGUACACACAAUAUAUAUAGUGAUCAAGCUUUUUAAUCUUAAUAACUUAAUUAUCCAAAGAUAAUUAUACUAACUUACAAACUUAAAAGGACAUAAUACCUCAUGGAUGGUCAUAUAUAGAAAAUGAUGGUUUUAGUUUACUUGAACUUAACAAUUUGGGAUGACAACAUUGCAAGCACUAGCAACCCUUUUAGAACCAGGAGAGUUAACAUAUUGCCUCAAAUUAGGGUUUUUGAUGUAUCCACAUAAGCAUGGCCUUUGCUCCCUCAAUUUGGAGCAACAAUUAGUUGAAGGUGGUGCAUUUGAAGUAAUUGCCCCAAGACAAGGACUCAAUUCAAUUGGGCUACAAUUCGCAGCCUCCGCAAUGGUAGCCACUUCAACAAUAAGCACUACCAUAAUCAUCAAUGCACACACAACCUUCAUCUUCAUCAUUUUCACUACUUCUCUAAUUAGCUAGUAAUUGGACAAAUUUUAGAGUGGAGUAUACUUGAUUAAUUGGCUAUGUAUUUAUAAGCAUGGAAAGUUAUAAUGGCUAUGUGGGUUGUUUUUGUUUAUAUGAGUGGAGAGUACUAGUAGUGGGUUUGGUUAGGUGCUCAACUCAAUGAAUAUUAAUUGCGCCUUAAUUUGAGUGGUAAAUGUGUCAUUGAUAUUGUCCCUACACCAGGAAAUGGGCGUUGAGAUGCAUUAAUACAACUUCUAUUUUUAACAGUACUCCUACUUCAUCCGUUCUAAAAUGAAUUAUUUAGUCGACAUCAGUCAAUACACAUUUAUAAAUAAAAGGACACUUGAAAUUUCAUUGAGAAAAAUCACACAACAAUAUAUGUUAUCAUUUGUCUUUUUGUACUAGAAGAAAAUAUAAUUAAAAUAUGUUAUUUGAAUAGUAUACUUCAUUUCUACAUCACUCAUUUAAGACGGAGGGGGUAAUUUUUAAAAAUAAAACUAGCAUACCUUCCUUCUUUAUACGCAACAUCAUAUGUUAAUCAUUUGAGUUAGUUAAGAUGUACUUCCUCCGUCAUUUUUUAUAAACAUCCUUUUAUAUUUUUCACAUAUGUUAAAAAAAGUUGGUGGUGUAAUGAAUGUGUAUAUUUUAUGUAAUACUUUUACUAAAUUACUUUUGUGUAUAGAUAUAUGUAUUUACAAUUGACUUAGGGUUCAUGUUUAAAAAAAACAAUAAAUACAUCUAAUAACUUGAAAGAUAACUUAUAUUUAAGGGUAAUUGUUUUCUCUCAAUAAGUGUUUAUAAUUAGUAACGGAAAGAGUAUUUUGGAGAUUAAUAUUUCUUCCUUUCGGGUGCUAGAUUUGAACGGAGUAUCAUGAAGUUAAAAGUGAUCUUUCAAUCUCGGACUCUUUUGUACGAAGAAACUUCGAUUGAGAGCGGAUAAUUUAUUAGAUGUACUUCACAUAUUUUUCAACGAAGAUUAGUCAUUGCUAAAUAGAAGUGUAAACUUGGUUAAAAUGAAAAUUCUAAGGAUUUUUAUAUAAUUUCAAAGUCUCGGUCUUCUUUCCAACUUUUUAUAAUUAUGGAAAUUCAUUCCCAUUUCUGGUGUCAUAUAAUUAAGGACAAAAUCAUUAAUUUGAGUCACCGUAAGAUUAACUUAGUUGGUAUAGACAAUGUAGAACAUAUGUAAGGUUGGGAGUUGAAUUACGACCACCACAAAAAAAAAAAAAAAAAAAACAUUAAUUUGAGUCAUUACUCGAAAUAUUUGUACAAGGUCAAUUCAAGAAAAUAAAUCUGACGCAUUCUAAUAUGACUAUGGACUGCUAUAUCUGACUAGCUCCAAAAUACAUGCAACAGUCCUCUAAAAAAAAUAGAGAAAGAUGAAAAAAAAAUUUAAUUAUUCAUUGAAUUAAGUAAAUCAACCGUCAAUAUGAAAAACGAUUUUCUUUGCUAAAGUAUACAUACUAUGAGACAAGCAUAAUAAUGUUGGGAAUAGGCCAGGCUAGACUUUGAUAGGCCUGAGCCUGACCUACGAAAAAAUUUACAGGCUUGAGCUUAGCCUAUGACCUUUCAUAGGCCUAUUUUUUUUGUCUGACCUGGCCUAUUUAAAAGUCUGGCCUGGCCUGAAAACCUAUUUACAGGCCUACUUACUAUUAAAGUCAUUAAACAUUCCAUUUUAUCUACUUUUGAAUAGGCUUAAUAGGCCUCAAAGCCUAUUUCAGUGUAAGACUUGUUUAUCACUACUAUAAGACCUUAAAAGCCUUUAAAGCCUAUUUAAAAAGUCCACUAUGAAACCUAAUAUGCAUAAACUGACCGACCUAUUAAGCUUCAUAGGCUUUUUUAAUAGCCUAAGCCUGACCUAUUUACUUAAAUAAGCUUUUUAAAAAGCCUAAGAAGAAGGUUAUUAUUUUAAAGUUAUUAAUUUAAGAAUAUUUUUAAGUGAUUGAAAAAUAUACUAGUAUUAUUUUUUCUAUAAUACGGUGACUAGUAUUAAUUCCAUAACCAAAAAAGUCACUCAUCGUGAGAGAACCGAGAAGAAGGUUAUUACCGAUUUUACCGAAAGACUUUUUCUUACAACAUUACCGAAAACAGUUAAAAUAAAAAGGUUUUACGUAUCAACAAGAAUUUUUUUCACUAAUGUGGUGACUAGUUUUACUUUUAGAAUUCCUUAAAAUCAAAACGGUUAAAUAUGAAUGACCAGAAAACAAGCUAAUUUCACGGUUUUACUUAAAAAUUCUUGUUACGUGAAUUUCAGUUUGGCUUCCACUAAAAGAAAAAGAAGGUUGUACCAACAAAAUGCAUACAAGUGUAUCAACUGGUUUAUAAUUUAUUCCAACUCUAAUUGGAUUGAUUCGAUUCAGAUCCGCCACCUACUUUUUAAAUAUUUGAAUUGAAACAAUUUUCUCAAACUUGAUUGAUUUGUAUCAAAACUAAUCAUAUCAUCAUCUCUUCUUGCUCCGGGUGGCAAUCCUCGUAAGAGGCAAUUAGUUACUUGGAGUCAAAAAAGUUGGUAAAUUUACGAGUCAAAUAAGUAGUACUUUUUAAAAUUUUCAGAGACAACUCUUAUAUAAUUUUUUAUUGGUACAAAGUGUCCAUUAUUAAAAGUAACUAUUUGUCUUUCUUUAGAUUGUUGUUGUUUUUUUUUUUUUUUUUCCUUUCUUUACAUAUUUCAGACGCUUCUUUUAGGCGACCAAAAUCUCCAUGGUUAAGUGGUCUGUGGAGUGUAAGCUGAAAUGUAGAGGUGAUUUUGGGGUAAGGGAUAUGCGUCUAUUUUAACUUGGCCCUUUUGGACAAAUGGAUGAGGAUGCUUGUUUUAGGAGGUCGAGCUUUGUAAAAUCUGCCAAUUUUGAUUUCGUUGAUAGGCUUCAGUCAAUUAGGAAAGAGGAGUGUUAUUUGAACAAUCAUUUUUGUUGACAACUUGUGAAAUAACCUAAAUAUACAACGAAAUACGAGUAUUGGCACAAAAACCAAAUCAAUAGAGAGAAAAAGUAAAAACAAAAUGUGAGUAUGAGAGUGAAAAUUGUCACAAAAGUUGUCAAACAUAUACUAUGGAGUAAAACACAAAGCAUAGAGCAGGUGAUAGUUAAAUGAACAAUUCACGUAUACUAUGUACUCUGGACUCAGAAUCUCCUUUCUGUCCCCAACACAGAGCCAAUUAGAUCUCAACCACCAAAAACACAACAAAAACUGCAAUGACCUAUUUAUCUUUAUUUUCAUAUUCUAUUUCUAUCUCAAAAACAACACUAAAAGAAAUCCAAUUAGUAUCACACGUCUUGCUUGCUGUACAUAUGGUAAACAGUGACAUCCACCUGAUGAAACAGCUUAAGCACAAAAUUGCUAAUGGGUAAAUGCAUUUUAUUGGUUUUGACCAUCCUCUUGGGUUUUUGCUUUACCACGAAGCAUAUCACUGAAAUUUCCCAGCAUGAUGCGUCUGAAUCUAGUGUCCUCUGCUGGUGGAGUGGCAGCCUUGGGGGACACAGCUGCAUCUGUUGGUGGUUCAGUGGAUUCUUUCUUUCCGAGCAACCCACCCUCACCAAAGAAGUUGCUAACUGAUGAUGGAAGCCCAAGAUGGGCACCCAUUACCUUGCUAAUAGUAUCGAAAGUUCCUCCUGAUCUUUCCUUCAUAAUAAUUUCAAGGGCUUCUUUGUGAGCUGGAUCCAGUGCAUCCAAGUCUUUCAAGAGGUUCUGUAUAGCAGGGAGGAAGAAGUCCCGAACACUAUUUGCAGGAAGAUCUACAAUGAAGAAAAAAAAUAAAAAUACUUGAGGGAAGAAAGAAAUUUCAUGAAUCAGUAACAUAAAGUCUCCUUGAAAUUAAAAAUACUUUUACAAACAAUGUUGCAAUGGUAGACUCUAGAGUACUGGUGGUGAAUAAAAUAAAUUUGAAAUUUGAAAUUACAAAUGAUUUGUCAUCAUGGGAAUGAAGAAGAGGACAUAUGCAGAUUUUGAUUAACAAUGAUCCAAAAAGGAUAGAAAAAUGGAUAAAAAGUGAUAACAUUUACUUUGUGGAGGAUGCCUUAUGAUUUCUUUUAGUAACAUAAACAUCCUAUCUAAUAAUAUUUUCUAUUAAAAAAAGGGAAGUGACUUCAACAAGUGAAAAAGCGUGGUUUGAAAUUCAACUAAUUAGAUUAAACACAACACAUUCCGCUAAAAUGAUCUAUACAUUACAUGUACCAAUUGGGAUAUGGAAAAACUACCAAAUAGGUAGCCCCAUGUCCAGAUUACAUAGCUACAUCAAUAAAAAAUCUGAAUCCUAUGACAACAGGACAUAGGACGAUGACAGUUAUCAUUAACAAGUUCAAAGCAUUAAUGCCAUCAAUCAAACCUUGACUUGAACACCAUAGAAAUAUCUCAAAAGAAUUUGAACACGCCAGAUUAAUAUGUUUUUUAAAUGAGCAAACCUGUAGCAUCCAGAGCACGGAUUGCCUCACAGAAUGCAUCAGCUCUCUCUCGUCGACGCAUUAAAUCUUUUGCCACAUUUGGCAUUGCUGUAAGUUGGAAAAUCUUGGACAAAAGAUGUAUGUGAAGUUAAAGAAACAAAAACACUAUUUCAGAAAUCUUGAAAGCCAACAUAACAUGCAAAUGACUAAAAAAAUGGACAAAAAAACGUCAGGACAUAAAUUACUUCUCGAAACAUUUUUUCCAGAAAUAAGGUUAAGGAUAUAAUCUCUAAGUCUUUCUAUUGUAUGUGGUACGGCAAUCACCAACGCACGAAUAACAGCAAUAGUAGCUUCAUGGGAACCAUCUUCAAGAAAAGCGUCCAUUUGAACACGUAUCUUAUCAACAAUCUGGAAGAUAAGAUCAGGAAUUUGAAAUGAAAAUUGGCAUUAACAUCGUAAGUCGUAGCUUCAACAAAAACCAGGGAGAAUACUAGUAGCAGUUACCAUCUCAUUUUUGAAGUGCUGAGCCACUGCACCAAAUGCAUCUAUGCUAGCAUACUUUACAUUCAGGUUUUGAUCAGAUCCAAGAGUAACUAGAGCAGGCAAAACAUGAGUUGAAGCAGCCUUUGCAUCAAUAUAUGGAACCUAAUAAUUAGCAAGCUGUCUUAGUUUAGGCAUUUGCAUGAGAUGCAUCUAGAAACUAAGCAAACAGCACUCUUACAAUAAUUUUCAGCAGCUGGGCGGCAGUUAUUUUCAUGCUCAUGUUAGAGCUGACCACCAUUUCCCAUAAUAUAUUAAAUACCAUGCCAUGGUUUUCUUCGUAUGUGCUGCAUUAUAAAGAAAGCUCAUAAUGAAUAUUGGACAAAAAUACAUUGAAUUUUAAAAAUGUUUGUGGUGAUAAUCUGACCAAAUGAAGCGGAUAGCAUUAAUAAUCUCAGGAGUGUGCUUGGUUGAUCGAUUUUCCAUGGAGUUAUCUUCUAGUAGCAGCUUCCUUAAAUAUCCUGCUAACUGUUCAUGUUUUCCAGGAGCACCCAGAACACCAGCCAACAGAAGCGGUAAGACACACAUUGUAUAAAGCCUAUCGGCCAUGGCAGAUCUUGGCCUCAAACCUACAAGUGAAAGGUCAGAUAUGAAGCAAUUAUGUAAAAAAAUCACAGGGGAAAAAAUGUUACCUUUAAUUCUUGAAUGAAUGGCAGUAGGAAAAAAAGUCAAAUCUGCAUCAUCCCUUACUGCAAUUAAAAAUACUGGUAGCAUUAUGCAUGUCACGUAGGACUCCCCAAAACAUUCAGAAACGGAUAACAGAAACUGCAUUUACGUAGGUUAUAUCAGCAAAAACUCAGAAAAAACUUUGGUUAGAAGGCAUACAAAUGUUUUGAAAACUGUAAAGGGAAGACAAGCGACCUUCGAAACUCGGCUCCGUAAAUUAUCUUCUUUCUGUGGCAACAAGCUGGCCAGCUGAAUCAAAUUUGGAAAACACUCAACAUGCAUCCACUCAAAUGCAUCCCAUUCAACUUGACCCCUAGUAAAAUCGAAACCAUUAAAGAUCAGCAGCAGCUUUGAUGGAGUGGUCGUGCAUGGUUAGUCUUUUAGUCUAUGCAAAAUGCAUGAAUGCACACACAUUAUUACAACAUGAAUCAACAAGUCUCAGGAGGAAGGAUGUGAUGUUGCAUUACAACAUUGUCUCUUCUAAAUAUCCCAAUUGCAUUAUUCAAAAUCAGCUGUUCUUGCUAAGCUUACCUAGCAUACAAUUCAAGCAAUGGGAUAGAUAACACAGUUGGUGCAGUUUCUGUGGUGGACAAGAAGGGGCAUGUGUCAAAUGCUUUUUGGUGCACGAAAGGGAGCAAUUUCAUCAGCAUUUUCAACAAAACGUCUACGUUCCAGCGCUCUCUUUCACCCAAUACACGGAGAUGUGACUCUAUAGACCCUUCAACCCCAGAAAGAGGCGGACAACGCUGCGGAUUGAUGCAAAAAAUCCCACUCAAAAAUAAUUUCAAUAAAUAAUGAAACUGUAAGUCUGAAAGGUAGAGUACAAAGAAAAACAUACCAGAGCUGAGUUUAAAAUAUGAGAAAGUAAAACUCUCAAAACAUGAUCUAAAUUGUUUCCCCACUCUAUAACUGCAGGAACCAAUUCCUUGAGAGCAGUUUCCACCACCACUCCAGUCGGGUCACAUACUAAUUGGAACAUCAGCUCCUCCACCUAGCAAUAAGAGGUGAAAAAAAUAAUUGGAGCAAAUCUUAAUUUUCAUUAUUAUUUUCAUUUGAAAGUUAUCAUAUUAUGGUAAGGUAAAAGGUUCCAUUCCCUAGACCAUGUUUUGUUAGCCUGUUCUAUAGCUUACAUUGUAGCAAAGUCUCAAGUCAGAAACCUUCUCCAUGAUUGCCUCGAAGCAAAUAUAGUGAGGCUGACCUUGAAAUAUUUAUCCACGUUUGGGAAAAGUGGAAGCAGCAUAGCUAGAUUUCGAGCUGCACCCUCUCGAACAACACUGGCAGAGUCUUCUAUUAGUUGCUGUACAAUUGAUAAAAUAAGAGAAUCGCGAAUCUCAGGCCGUACGAAUUCUGCAAGCUCUCCACAUGACUGAGCCACGAGCAACCUACGCUCCUCGUACAUGUGACUGAUCUAAUAAUCGCAAAACCAACAAACUAAAAACCUGGUCCAAGUUUUAUAAAGGUAAAAAGCAAGUUGAAAUGUGAAGCAAAAAUAUACUUGUUCCCAGCACUGUGGAAGCAAUUCUGUUUCUGUUCUCAUCUCUCCAACAUUCUUUGCAAGGCUGACACAUGCCUGAAAGGAUGACAGGUAAAUUUAAAUUGUAUUCAAACGUUCGCAAGAAGAAAUCAAGAAAACAGCACAACAUACAUCCAUUAUUAUUCGUCUCUGCUGCUCAUCUGGACGUUUGAUUAAAUUAAACAAUGUGUGGGUCAAAGAAUCUCGAGUGCUACUGUCUGGGUGGCGCUCAAUAGCACACAUUAUUAGAGGAAGGAGCUCCUACAAACAAACAAAGUUAUGCAACAUUCAUGGGACAGAGAACAAAUGAAACAUAUUUAUAGAAAAGCAGACCUCACGAUGAUUGAUCAAGACAUAAGGAACGAUUUUAGGCAAAGCAUCUGCAAGUAUCUGAACUGUUCCUAAUCCCUGUCAAAAUAUGAACAUAUAUAAGAACAAAAUAUCACAGUUAAAUCAUAUGGACAGAGACAAACCAAUUUAGACAACAUUUAGCCAUCUCAACAGUGCAUCAUUUUUUCUUCAGAUGAAAAGGGUAGAGAUUUUUCAUCUCUAUAUUUUUCAAAAGUGCUACAUAACAGGUAAUGAAAAUUAGGAACAGUACUUCCAGUUCACCAUUCUUAACACUAAAUCAAGCCUUGACCAAAACAACUCCCAAUUGUUCAGUCUCAACAAAAUUUUAAAAAAAGUAAACCGUAUCAUAUGAAACCAACAAGUAAUAAUGUCUACAGAUAUCAGAAGCCAAGAGUACUACGAACUUGCUGUUUUCUCGUAUAAUUAAUUUGUCACUUACAAUGUCUGAUUUUUCAUGUAACCCAGUGUCCACUUCUUGUUGACCAACAUUUGUUUCGGAGUCAUUUUUUAUAUUUUCGAAAGCACUGUUUAUAUUUGCAGGAUUAACUAAUUUAGGCAAGGUAUCUUCAUUGUUAUUUGCAUUCUCAUUCAAAGGUUGAGCAGCUGAUGAUUGAGCAUCUUCAUUGGGUACAGCACCAACCACCGCAUCACCAGGAUUUGAGAUUGAACCUUGGUCUUCAUGAAUCUCAAUAACUUUAUCAUCUGUCUGUAAAUUUUCCAUUUCAGAACUGACAAAAUUUCCAGGUUCAUGAGCUCUUGCAUUCUUUUCCUUCAGCGAUUCAAUUUCCACCAGCAAUUUCUUAAUUUCUUCCUCGUACUUCUCUAAAGACUGAGACUGAACAUUAUUAACUUCCUUGCCAGCCAGAUUAUUUCCUGAGAAAGAACCUUCAAUAUGCAUUUUCAGUGAAGUGAUCUCAGCUCUGCAAUCAUUGAGCUCUUUCCUUUGGUGCUCCAAGGAUUGUUUUAAAACUAGCACCUGAAAGUUACAACUGAUAUAUCACAAUUUUGUAAAUUCAAAUGUUGUUUUACGGAAUCAUUUAAACUAAAAAUAAACUACCUGGUUCUCUUUGUCUCUAAUAUCUUUCUGCAUUGCCUCCAAAGAUUUAGUUAAGGUUCCAAUUUGAGCAUCAGCCAAAUCUUUGUUCUUCAAUAAGGUUUCCUUUUCUUGAUUAAGCUUCUUAUUCAAUUUCAGCAAUUUUUCAUUCUCUCGAAGUAAAGAAAAUUUUUCCUGCAUUUUCAUGCGAAUUUCAGUAGAAAUAGUAACGUGAACAGAAUAUCAUAUGAUUAGCUUGAAUCUAUCCAAAAAAUUUAGAAGAACAAUUAACAGUGAGUCCAAAACAACAAAUGCAUCUGAAAUAUAUAUAUCAAAAUUCACUUAUUAAAUAAACUUAAUUGCAUAUGAAAAAAUACAGCUUCUUCAAUUUAUGUAGAAAUAGUUUUAUUAGGGAAAUGAACAUCUGAAAUAUGAGUGUUGAAGUUAUAGAUUAUAGAUAAAAAAUUGCAAUGAAUUAUAAACAACAACCAAGCCUUUUCCCACUAAGUGGGGUCGGCUACAUGGAUCAAAUUACGUCAUAGUAUUCUAUCAUAAGCCAUAUUUGGAUCCAACUCAUUGACCCUUAAAUCCUUUCUAAUGGUUUCUCUAAUUUUCCUAGGUCUCCCUCUACCUGUUUUAAACUGACUCUCUUCCAUUUGAUCAACUCUUCUUACGACGGCAUCUAACGAUGAAUUAUAAACGUUAGAAUAUUAUUGAUGAUAACUAGAUAAUAGCUUUAUACAAACUCGAUACAAAAGACUAAGCAGUAAUAUCUAUUUAUAGAGAUACAUAGGCUCGACCCUAAAUAAAUAGAGAAAUCAUGAAACAAUCAUAAUAAUCAAGUAAAAAAAUUAAUCCUUUGAGAUACUCUAAGAUUAUAAACUGAUCAUAGGAAAUAAACUACGAUGCUCCAAUCUAAUGUCAAAGAAAUUAUAAGGUAUUUCCUUAUAUUAUAACAAUGAGGAUGAGAAUUGAGAAACCCUUAAAAUUGGAAAGCAAAUAUAAACUGAAAAUUACAACAGAAGCUUGGGGAAAGCACUAAACAACAUAAUAGCACAGAUUGAAAUGAAGGGGGUCCAAGUUCCAAUAGGUUUGCACAUUUCAUCAAGCAUAAUAGUAGACAACAUCAAGAAUAGACAAAGUAUAGGUAUCUCAGAAGAAGAAUGAGGAGUCAGAUAUGAAGAGCAAUUAAGGAUUUUAGGGAGAUAUCUGGAAAUUGGUUUUAGGAUUAGGAUACCAUAUCACGAGAGAGGGGGGAUUGUUUUUGCUGUGUAGAAAAGGGAUGGGAUGACUUAGCUUGUGUCUCCCAAUUCUAACAUUUAUAUAAGAUUAAGGCUUGUACACGCAGGCCAAACCAACAUACUAUUCCUAACCUGAGUAGAUAAGGCCAUGGACUAAUAUGCAUGCAGAUACUCAAACAAAAUACUUAAGAAAAAAAAUUAACACUACCAGAAGAAAAAAGUACAUAUGAAAUAUAUGAAUGUUAAAUGAAAGACAUAAAACCCACAAAAUGGUAAGCAGAAGAAGUUGAUUGGUGGAAAGAUAUUAGAAGCCAAUUUGUCAGAACAGUUUUUGGGGGUACAAUAUAGUAUGCUAGGUGGUACACAAUGAACAGCUUGCUUAUAUAAUGAAGAAAUCACCUCUGCCGCCUCAGAAGUUGAUGAAAGAUAUUGAUAAUAAUAAUGCCGCAAGGCAUCAGGUACAGAUGCAGGUGUGUUGUGCCAAAUGUCCAAGUUCUGGUCUGUAACCUACAAGAAUAGUUUUAGUGAAUAAUAACAAAUCACUAAAAUUAAGCACUGAAUUGGAAGGGAAAAAAUAAUGUUAAAUAUUGACUUUGAAAGCAUUUAUGCUUGUUCAUACAGGGGAAGAAAAAACAGAAAAAAAAAGAUCUAUCAGAUUGUAUCUUGACUGUCAAUGAUUUCCUUAUUAAAUUAUAAACCAUCAACUCAGUCCCUUAUGUCUUACUCUCUUUUGUAGUUCAUGUGCAAUCCCUUUCUCCUUUUGGUCAUCUUUUGAUAUCUGAUGUCACGGGAGUCUCAACUCCCCAAUUAAUAACAACAACAACAACAACCAAGCCUUAUCCCACUAAGUGGGGUCGGCUACAUGGAUCAAAUGACGCCAUAGUGUUCUAUCAUAAACCAAAUAUGGAUCCAAUUCAUUGACCUCUAAAUCCUUUCUAAUGGUUUCUCUAAUAGUUUUCCUAGGUCUUCCUCUACCUCUUCUAACUUGACUCUCCUCCAUUUGAUCUACUCUUCUUAUGACGGCAUCUACGGGUCUUCUCUCUACAUACCCAAACCAUCUAAGCCUAUUUUCUACCAACUUUUCUACUAUAUGUGCUACCCAACUCCAUAAUUAAUAAAGGUAUACAAAAAUAGUAGUAAUAAGUAAUCCUGAAGUAUAUGAAAAUCAAUCAUGUUAGUCCCUUAAGUGCAUGAAAACUCGUUACAUUAGUCUCUAGCAUCUUAAUAACAGGGACUAAUAACAAGACAAAUUUUCAUAUACUUCAAUGACUAAGUAGGAGAAGAGGUGACAUUAAGGUGCCUCAAUAUCAAAGGUACUAGCCCAAAACCUACGGCACCUUACAUAUCUCAACUCAACAGUGCCAAUGCAACACCAUCUGACAACCUAAAACCCAAUUAUCCCUCCAAGAAUAGAAAAUUAAAAAGUGAAAUAGCAUAAAAUCAUCCCUACAUUCCAUAGCAUGACUAUAUUUUUUAUUGGUUCCUAAUCCAUCCGAAUAAAGUACAAGAAGAUACUACAGUGUACAGUCACUGUUUUCUAAUUGCUUAUUGAAACAGGUAAUGGACAAAAUAAUUCAGAACUAAAAGAGAUACAUGGAAAAUUACAUCUUAAAAUUGAACUUUUACUUUCUUAGAAAUCACAAGUCUACCCCACCGCUGCCCCACACACACCCCUCCCCCCAAAAAAAAAAUUCAUAAGAGAAAUAAAAUCAGAAAGUCGCAGAAAAAUAGGCAAUACAGAAUACUAACCUCUUCAUAAAAUGUCAUUGCAGUAAGACGGUAACCAGCUAAAAGUAAAUAUUCCUUUACAGCACAGUUCAGAUCUUGACGUUCAGUAUCCUUUAACGGACCCAAAUCGGUGAAGGAAGUGUUCUUUUGCUGUUGAAUUUGUUGCCCAUCAUUCACUGAAACAUCACCACUUAACUGUGUAGCUGCAUUCAAAAAGAAGUAUUCCAUAAAGCAAUGACAACUGGAGAACAUCCCAAGUAUUCUAAGUCAUUAUUUUUUAUAUACACAAGAAAAAACUUCUCAAGAGAAAAAUGAAGAGCAUAAAGCCAAAUUGCUUUACAAUGAGUGAAGGAUCAUUUUCAACAAAUCUUUUAGCCCAGGAUUAACGAAGGCCAACUUCUAGAUAGUUUUAAGUGAAAAUAUUAUAAAUGUUCAGGUAGGGUGUCUAGACUCUUGACUUAGAUGCUAACUUACAAGGAUUGAAAGGGAUUUUCCAACAACAAAAAUGUUAAGGUUAACAAUAUUUAAAAGGUCAAAUGCAUCUAAAGGUCCUUUAAGUUUUUCGUUUCCCCCAAAGUGGUCCUUUAAGUUUCAAAAGUCCCAAACAAGUCCUUUUAGUUUUUGAAUCGUUUCAAACAAGUCCUAUUGUAGAUAGAAUAGUUGGUAAUUGCUUCCUUGAACUCAUCUUUGGUACCAAAUUUGGCUCCUAACACCCACUUAAAAUUAGUCAUCUUUUUAGGCAUGGCAAAUGGUGGAUAAUGCUCUUUGUUGCUAUCAUCUGAAUCAUCAUCAUCAUCCUCUAAAAGGACUUGUUUGAAACGAUUCAAAAACUAAAAGGACUUGUUUGGGACUUUUGAAACUUAAAGGACCACUUUGGAAAAAAUGCAAAACUUAAAGGACCUUUAGAUGCAUUUGACCUAUUUAAAAUUAUGGAAGGCCUACAGGAAUUCGAUUUUUUAAGUAGGUUGUUUGAAGCAAGGAAGUUGCCUACUUUGUUUAAGGAAAAGGAUUUGCUGUUUUUUUAGUAUAAGAUUAUCCAUGGGGAAGUCGUCGUGUUUCCCUUUUCUGUUUUGUCCUUGGAUUGUUUCCUUGUAGAGGUUUUAUCUUUUUAUUUUUCUUCAACUCCGUUUGUGUUUUGAUGGAUAACACAAUACCUAAUCAUCUCUCCAGUUACCUCUUUCCUAUCUAAUAGUAUCUAUUCUUCUAGCUAAUGGGAAAUGAAAAAAGCUGAACAUAUCAUUCUUCAUCAGCAUAAUUCUGUAUAAUUAUGUAAAAAAUGUAUGACAUUGAAGGCCUAAUAGAUAUCACAUAAUAUAAAAGAUACAAAGGUCAAAAUGUCCUGAGAAUUAAAAAAAAAAAAAAAAUUACCACUUUGUUCAUUACUGUUCUCUGUUUUCUUCUGCAAUUCACUCUUGAGUUUUGAGAUGUCUUCUUGGGCCAAACGCAGUUCAUAAUCACUAAUAGCUAACUUUUCCGUUGCCACUUCUUUCUCUUCAAACAAACUUUGAGGAUCUGCCACUGCAUUUCAAAAUAAAAAAAAUGGUGAAGAAAAAUUAGCAUCAUAUAAGGUACGGGAUUACAUCAAUCUGUGCCGAUUAUCUAAAAAAAGAAUAUCAAUCUACACCUAAAUAUCAUAUCUGCUCUUAUCAGUCAGGUUAGAUUACAAGUACUUGAGAACUGUGUUCUCAAAUAGCGGAUAUAGUAAGUCUAUAGCAUAGUGGAGUUCGAACAAAUUACUAUUGGUCUGUGAUACGCUGACGCUACUUAGUACAAUGUGUUGUCAAAUAGCAGCUACAACAGCGCUAUAUAACAAAUUACUGUUGUUCUGUGAUCCGUUAUUUAGUACAAAGUGUUGUCAAAUAUCAGAGUACAAUGUAAGUAUGGCAGACUACACCUAGAGUAGGUACACUUCUAUGUAACUAACUGUUACUAACUAGAGUUAGUUACAGUUGCAUAUACUCCCUCCGGUCACUAUUAUAAAAAGAAAUAUUCUCUUUUCAGGUUCAUUGAAUCGUUGAUGUAUCUGGUUUAUAGUAUAGUCAAGAUACAUCAGAUAUUGAAUGAAUCUGAACAAGGAAUCUUUGCUUAUAACAGUGACCAGAUAGAGUAACUUCUCGGAGUUAGUUACAGCUAGUUAGAUUUCUAGCAAUCUAUAAAUAGGAUCGAUGCACAUUGUAAUUAGUGAGAACUCAUACAUCAAAGAUCAAGCACAAAGUGCUCUCAGAGUUCUCUGAACGAUCUAUAAACUAUAUGUUCAACUUCUAACAUCAAAUAGCAGCUAUGGCAGUACUAUAGCGUAGCAGAAUUUGAACAAUCUGCUAAAUUUUUGUGAUCCACAGUUAACAACACUGCUUACAAAUCACUUCAUUUUACCUUUUCGCAUUCCGAAUUGAACUCCUCAAUUAACAAAUAAGCACAUAAUAUCAUACAAUCCAAUCCAAAUUCAAAGAUCUUAUCAGUCAAAUACACAGUAAAUUAAUACUAAAAAUAACUAAUAAGCAUGAUUCGUAUUCAUUUCUAUCAAAUUAUCCAGCGUUGACUGAAACAAUGAAAAAUUUAAUGGUGAAUCGUUACCUCGGAGAGAAUUGAGGCGAGAGAUUUGAUCGGCGGGAAAGAGAGAUUGAUCGGAGAAAUACUGUUUAAGUCGAAUAGCUUGAUCGUCGUGACCAUCGUCGAGAAGCUCGUGAAGAAGUUCAAAUGCUGUGAGAACGUAAUUCUCUUCUAACAGAAAGUUCACAACGCAAUUGCAAAGGGAUGAUCUAUCUACGUUCAUGUUUUCUGUUAGAAAUCCUCAGAUCAAAACCCUAAUGGAGUUUCUGAUCUGAGGUCAUUGAAUUCAAGAGUGAUGAAUGAAGUUGCAAUUUCAAAUGUGCGUUGUUGUUCAUGUGUGCUGGUUAGUUAGGUGACAUUUCACGUGUUCAGUUUUAUUUUUUAGUUUAUUUAUUUUCGUUUUUAUGGAAUUUGAUUGAUGAAUUGCGUCGGAAUGAAGACUCCGCAAGAAAUGGUGAGAAAACAAACAAGAUUUGUUUAGGGAUUUGGACACUUUCCAAAAGGGAGUUAUAUGUGACUUGAUCCACUUUUACACAAUCAACUUUUUACCGUUGAUUUAGGGGUGGUGUGUUAAUUUGGAAACUUAUAAUUUUUGAGUGAUGACAUGUGUUUACGCAUGUGAGAGAUCGGGGUGGCCGAGCAAAUCGUAUAUCGUUGCAAUUGUAUACUAUCAACAAUUUUGAUAGUUGAUUUGAGAUUGUUCGAUUCAAGUGACUUAAUCAGCAAUUUUUUUUAAAAGAUCUUGAUUAUUGAUUUAAAUCAGAUGAUUGAAAUCUAAAUUGUGUCGUGCAACAUAGAGAGUUAGAGUAUCUUGGCUCUUGUUCACUAUUGUACUCUUCAAUCAUCAAUAAAAAGAUAUAUAUUGCUUCCUAUGACUUAGAUAACACAACAUAGUCAAAAAAUAGUGUUGUUGAAGAUAUAUUGGGUUCUAUGUUGACACACUUUUCCAUAGGCAGACCAAAGAGUUGUUGGCCAAGAGGUUUUAAGUUAGAGAACCACUACAUUAGCUAGUCACAAUUUAAUACUUAAAGGUACAUAGUUUCAAUAGAGGAUACUUAUAAUUUUCUCCGACAUAAAAUAAAACGGAUUAAAGAGUUAAAGAUUCACCUUUUAUCCCAUUUAUAUGUAUCACCAUCAAUUAACUCGUCAAUCAUUGUUUUAUUUGACAAGUUCCCCACAAGCCAAUGAAUCUUUGGAUGUGGAUGAUCAUGGAUCCAAUCAACACUAAGAAUCUUGACAAAAUUCCCCCUAUUAAUCGCAAUAGACUUUUGUGUGCAUUUGUUGGCAUUUUGUUUUGACAACUAUAACAUUUGUCCUAGGACAAUACUUACUUUUGAAGAUCCUCACCAUUAGUUAUUUUUCGUCAUUUAGAAUCACCAUUUAUCAUUUGUUGCUCCCAACCUCUCCUAACUCAUCCAAUGCACGUUUUCUAUCUAUUUCUUUGAACCCCGCAAAUUUUUUUUGAUAAAACACCUUCAAUAGAAUUACAACAUCCUUCCUGGAGUUUAUUAGCCCAUGAUUUAGUUUCGAUUUGUUUGAGUCGGUGCCUUGAUUAUUGUUUCUUUUUCCGCUUGAGAGGGACAUUUUUCCUUCAACCUUUUGAUUUUCUUCCAAAACCUAUAUUGGACAAAUGAGAGUGUAUCGUUUUCGGACAUCCCAAAGAUCACAAAAAACUUAAGAUCUAUAGAAUGAGUUGUACGCUCUUUACAUUAAUCUUUUGGCAUAUAAUUUAUUGCUCAAUGAUAUGAACAUUUGGAUAAUAUGACACCUUAACUUUGGUUUGAGGCUGCUUCAUUGGUAUUUAGAAUUGAUGGAGUUGUAUCGACUUAUUUCAAGUUGGCUCUGACAAAGAGAAGAUUGCCGUUUGCAAAUAAAAUGUGAGUGAUUUUUUGUGACCUUCCUUGCAACUUGUAUCCCAUGGAUAUUUGUUUCCUUUUCCUCUUUAAGGAGCAGUAAUGACAACACAUUUGUGCAAAUGACGAAGAUGUAGGAAAAAAUGAGGUCAUUUUUCUUAACCCAUUCUCUAUAGUAAAAUCUUUGCUAAACUGAUCGUGGAAAUGCAUCCCAAAAUUGAUUUAGUCAAAGUGGAAUUGAACCCCAUGAAUAGAAGCAUAGAUCGUACAAAAAAUCAUUUAAUACAAUCGUAAGCCUUUGCCAUAUCUAGUUUCAUUAUCAUCAUUCCCUUCUUUCACUUAGUCUUCUUCUACCAAUGAAAAUACUCGAUAGCUAUCAAUGUAUUAUAGUGAUUAGCCUAUCUUGACAAAAGCACUCCAUUCUUUACUCAUGCAAUGAUGGGUUUAAUGCAGUUGACAAUUGGUUUUCUAACAAUUUUUGUCACUAUAUUGUAGAAGCUUAUAUCGAAUAACUCUUUUAGUGAGGAAGUAUUCUUGCUCUUGGGAAUCAAAACUAUGAAGAUUUUGUUGCUGUUGACGACUUAUCAUCAUUAAUGAUCUCUAGUUCGAAGGACUUGCCUUCAUUGCUAAUUAUGUACCGAUAUUUAUAAGAAAACAUAAAGUUAAAAGUCUAUUUAGGUCACAUUUCUUCAAGGGGUGCACUUGGUUAAGAACCUAUCUAAUCUCCUAAUAUAUAAGUUGCAAUCAAGUUAGAAUAUUUGUUCCUAUGCCAAUUUAAAUCUUGGUCGUUAAUGACGAUAGUAAUUUUCUUAAUGAUAGAAUGAUGAUUUCUAAAUAAAAAAGAGUUUGUAAUCAAUUUUUUUCUUUUAAAAAGUUUGUCAGUAAAAUUUGCAUCAUGAAAAAACUGGACCAUAAUUGCCUGCAAUGAACUUUUGACUCGAUGACACAAUCAAUACAUUUGUGGUUCAUAUUGUUCAAUCUAAACUGUUCGAUUUUGAUCAAAUAGUCACAAGUGUGCUUACCGUGUCAUUCGAUUUAAAAAAAACUAGGUUCACUAAUGUGGCACCUAAAAAUCAAACAAGGUCUCUAAUGGGAACCCAAACACACUAGUGAUUGUAAUUUGUAAAAAUCCCCCUUCAAAAGCAUAUAUUUGGCCACACUGGUUGUUUGUUGUUACACAUACAGAAGUAGAUGGUUUUGCAUUUGGAGAUGUGGUCGAUAAUUGGGCCAAAUAUUUCGUGUGGCAAAGAAAUUGCUUUAUAUUAGUGACAACUUAGGAAAUGUCACGGUUAAUUGAAACCAUAGCCUAGAAGUUAUAACAUUCUUCUUCAACCGUUGUCGCCUUGUUGAGCUUCAAUGCGAUGCAAUCAUUAUCAUUGCAUGUUACCAUCGCAAGCUGAUAAAGUCUACCUUUUCCCACUGCAGAAAAUUCAUUGAAUAUACUCCCCCGUCCCUAAAUAAGUGACAUAUUUCACCAUUUCACACAGAUUAAGAAAAGUGUAAAGAUGAAAGAAAGAGAGUGAUACUUUUACUGAGUUGCCCUUGUCAUUAUUUUGAAACUUUUUCACUUUUAAAAAAUGAUUACUUUCUUUGUUUCACUAUAAACUUUAACAUGAGGACCACAAAAAGUAUAUAUAAGGGGUAAAUCUGUCAAAUUUUGCUUAGAAAUCUGAGAAGGUCAAGUAUUGUGGGACAGAUAUUUUUUACAAAUAGGUCACUUAUUCAGGGACGAAGGGAGUACAAUACAUAAAACCAAUAUUCUUAAGAAAAUGAUAACGAAUAUCCUCGAACACUUUUAAAGAUUAUAAAUGGUAAAUUUUUGAGAUGGUUUAUGUAUUUAGUGCAUUGAGAAUUGAAAUGUUUAACUUUUUUUUUAAAGAAUAAUGACUUAAUCUAGAAUGUUUAAAGAGUAUUUUCAUGAACACUUUAUUAGCAAGACACUUAUUUUUACAUACAAGUGUCCAACCAAUGGUCUAUAAAUAAAUUAAGGUUAAAUAAGAUUUUAAUCUAUGUAAUUAUAUCUUAUUUUGUUUUAGUCCUUUAUAAAUUGUUUCUUCAAUCAAUGAUCCUUCAACAUUUUUUAUCCUUAAUUUGUAGGUUGGUUAACUCAUGUGUAUAUUUCAAAUUUUUGACCGGUAUUUUUGCAAGUAUCUUUAGAAUAAUAUAACAAUCUUUCCCACAAAAACGUAAAAUACUACAUAAACUUUGACUUAAAAGUAGAGACAAAUUGUUUUUUUAAAGGAGCAAAGACAAAAAUAUUGACGAAAAAUAUUUGAAGGACAUUGUUUGAAUGUUUUUUAGCGGGACUAAAUAAAAAAUAUUUUUAAGACUAAAUUUUUUAUUAAUCCAAUAUAUAAAUAUUUAAAUAUAGAUUUGGUUCUAAAAAAAAUAUUCAUUUGUUUUUCAUCUCUGUAAAUAUACUACUUUUUGUUUUAAUCCUUAGCAAAAUCUAUUCAUAAUAAAAUUAGUCAUUUUAAUAUGUAGAUAAUUUAAUUUUAAUCCUUUAAAAUAAAAACUAAAAUGAAUAUUUCAAGGAUCACAAUUUUAAGUUGAUGUCAAAUAACAUUUAUAAAUUUUAUUUUAUUAAAGAAACAUUAGCUGUCCCUUGUCACAAGUUACACUAUUAUCUCUUUCAAAAAAAUAAGUUACACUAUUAUCUUGAAGCAGACAAAGAAGUGAAUUUAAAACCAAAAGUGGUCCUAAGCAAAAAUUGAAAGAUGAAAAAAUUGGGACCUAAAUAUAUAUAUAAAGAUAAAAUCUAUACAGAAAAUUAGAUAGUGACAGGUAGUGAUGUGUCCAAAACCAGUCACAACCAGUCAUUGAUACUCCCUCCCUCUUCUUGUUACAUCCCUUCUUGUUAAGACAUUUGAACUUUGAAUUCUCAACCACAUAUUUUUAUUUUUCAUGUAACUAUUCUCCAAUCACAGUCUCAACCUCUCAGGUAUGGUAUUUACUUCCUCUAUAAUGUUAUCACUGUUACAAUAUUUCAAAAUAGCCAGACAACAAUGAUUAGCUUUAUGCUAAUACAAGGUGAUUGUUUAUAGGAUAAAGGAGAAGUGAUAAUUUACUUAUAGUUAUUUGAAUUUAUUCCUUCAGUUUUGACAAAAGAUGGAUGAUACUAAAGUUGGUAUGAGAAGAGUUAGAUCAGUUAAAGAUGUUAUUAGUCUAUAUGAUGAUAGGAAUCAUAGGACUGCUGAUAGUUCUUCAUUGAAGAAAACUCAGAUAGACUUCGAGGCGGAUUUCUCAGCGGUAAGUUCAGAUUUUUUUCCACAAGCUUUCUAGAAUAGAUUAUAAAAACAACUUAUAGCUCAUGUGGAAUCGAAUUUUGACUUUGUUCUAGAAAUAGGUUAUAGAUCAUAAGUGCUUAAUUAAGUUGUUUAUCCAAACAGAGUCAUCUAAUAUUGUAUAUGCAUUAUUAUUGAGGCAUUCUUUUGUUAACUUUUUCAGUUUUUUUCUUUUUCUUUUUCUUUGUAUUCUCACAUAUUCUUCAGAACCCUACUUCAAGAACAAGAGAACUACACCAAGCUAGACGAGACAUUGGAAGGUACAAAGAGAGUAGAUGGACAGCAGAAUCUGCAAAAUCUCAAGCAGAAUCUGAGCUUUCAAAUGCUAAAAAGACAAUGAAAAAUCUCUCUUCUAUGAUUGAGGAAUCAAGUUACAAGGCUAAGGCGAAAAUGAAGGACAUAGAAACACUAGAGAAGAAGGGAAAAGGUCAACAUGGUGUUAUGGUUGUAAGGAGGAAUGAGAAUUAUGAGUAUGCACAAGUGAUGAGAGAAUUGGAAUAUCUCAAAAAGGAAUUGUUUAAGCUAAAGCUUGACGUGGCUUCUGUUUUGCAAGAGAAAUCGCGGGCCGAGAAAGAAAUCGAAGCAUCAAGCUCAAAGAUGAUUGAUUGUUCAAAAAAAGAAGAAGUACUUAGAAAGGAGAUUGAAGAAGCCAAUGAAGAACAAGUACUUGCUGAAUUGGCCAGGAUUGAGGCUUUGAAAGAGUUGGAGGAUAUUAGAGUUCAAAGAGAAAGAGAAGCAAAUGAGUUUUCAUUCAAAUUGGAAAACACAAGAAAAACGUUAAAGGAGGCCACGGAAGAGAUAGACAUAUCAAAGGAACUUGAAAUGAAACUAGCUAUGACAGUUUCAGAUGUUGAUCUGUUGCAGAUUCAGUUGAGUUUGGUCAAAGAAAUGGAGAAAAGGGUUCAAGGAGAUGAAAGUGUGAAACUAUUGGAAGGAAGUUUAAGAAAAGGUGACGAAUCAGGAGACUCUACCGAGUUACAAACUGUAAAGGAGGAACUUGAGGCCGCAACGAAAGAAUUAGCUUUGAUUAGAGAUGAAGGUUUUCAGUUUAUGGCUUCUAUGGAUGUUAUAAGAAAUGAGCUGAAGCAUGUAACUAAGGAAAUAGCUCGCUUGAAGAAAAACGAUUCAUCGGUUCAAAAUCUCAAUUCAAAGGUUCUAAGAACAAAAUCUAAGCUAGAAGCUGCAUCUGCUGCAGAGGAAAAAGCAAGAUCAUUAGUAGUUAGUCUAUCUCAUUCUCUUGAGACUCUGAAGAAAGAAACAGAUGAAGCUAAAACGGAAAAAGAGCUCAUAUCUCAAGAUAUUAUAACAACUAAGUUGGAAAUUGAAAAAACCGAGUUUGAGAUUGAUACGAGUGAGGAAAAAUUGCAAGGCGUUAUGAAAGAGUUGGAAGAAGCAAAAACAACUGAAGCUUUAGCUUUGGAGAAGCUUAAAACACUUUCUGAGACUACCAUGAAAGAAAGAGCUUUAACAGCAAAACAUAGUUCAUCGAUUACUAUCUCCAAAUUUGAAUACGAGUAUCUAACUAAUCAUGCAGCUGCAGCAGAAGAACUUGCUGAUAAAAAAGUUGCGGCAGCUGAGGCAUGGAUUGAAGCGCUCAAGGCGAGUGAGAAGGAAAUACUAAUGGAAACAAAAAUAGUUCAAAGAGAACUCAAAGAAAACAUUUUGAAGGAAGAGAGGGAGGUUUACAUCAAAGAGAAGAUGGCUGCAAGAAGAGUUAGUAGUGAGGAGUUUGAUAGAACAAGAAAACGCGAAAAGGGUUCGUCGCAGAGAGCUAUUUCUAGAAAGAGUAUUAAAUCAAAUGGAAGUAUGACUCCUGCUAAAAGAAUCAAGUUUCAGAAGUCUGCUGCUUCACCCGCAACUCGGCACAUUAGUCCUUUCACUCUUAAGAAGAGAAAGAAAGUUAUCCCGAAUUUGGCAAAGUUAUUCAGUAGCAAGAAAAACACUAUGCCUAAAGAGUAAAUUCAACGUCAUUGUUUUAAAUUCCGGUCUACAAUCGCAUGCACAAUUAGAUAUAAAAUUAGUUAUGUCACUACCAGCUGAUAUAACUAACUUUAUAUCUAAUAUGCAAGGUGAAGGAUUUUCAAGCCUUGGCAAAUAGAACUUCAUCAUUGCUAAAUUUUAAUAGCAGGGUAAAGAGUGAGGCAAACAUAUCUAUUUGUAACUGAAGUAUAACUCUCACUACAGAAUUCAAGUUAUUUUUUCUCUUUUCUCUUCCAUUUUUAUACAGUAACAUUUUCUAUUGGCUUUAGUGUUUUUCAUUAUUGUUACAUCCGUAAGAGUUUUAUAUCUUCUUUUAACUUGAAAAAUAAUUGGCUUUCUACACUUGUAUUGUAUGCUUGCAAAAUUGAUUUUAAAAGAUGAUGUAAGACAUUGGCUUACUACAUCAUGUUACAUUUUUGCUAUAAAUACACCUUAUAUUCUUUUGAACUAUAUAAAAUGAUUGAUAAUUGAUGUGUGGUGCCAUUUAGAAUGCAAGGCACUCUUAGCACGAGAUAAUGAGAACCACUUACAUAAAAAUUGAUACCAUGUGCAGAUAAGGACUUUAUUACUUGUUUCAAAGGAAAAAAAGUUGUUUGAUUUGUUCUAUAAAUGAGAAAUUUCGUGGAAGUGGAGACAAUGAGGCUCCUUCAUCAAGGAAAUUGUUGAUCUAAUGCAAUGACAAACAAACAUAUAUCCUUCCAAUUUAUAAGCAUAAAUAAACAUGAUUACCACAUGUGGCACGAACUUCUGGAUACAAAUAUAAAUAAAUUAUUUAAAUUAGAGAUUUUACUGAUGCUUUUUAAAAAAAUAUCGACUAACAAUCAUAUAAAAUUUAGACAUAGUAACAGACAAUCAUAUAAAAUUGAGAGAUAGAAACUAGAAAGAAUAGUCCCGUGAACAUAGCUCAGUUGGUGGACAAUGCAUUAUUAUAUGCAGGGGACGAGAUUCGAACUCCGGACACCCCACUUAUUUACUUUAUAAGGUGAAUUCUGUAACAAAAAAAAAAAGAAACUAGAAAGAAUAAAAGAUUUAAACUGAAAAUAAGAUCGUAUAGUUAGUUAAAUUGAGACGAUAAGAUAGUGAGAAAAAAUUAGUAAAAAUAAUGAAAUUAAAAUUGUUUAAACUUAGUUUUUUUUUUAUUUAUUAUUUAAAAUAAACAAACUUGAAAAUGAGUAUGUGCAUUGAUUUGCAAAGAUAUCAGGCCUUUUCUGAAUCCUUUUUUUUUUUUCCUUUUUCCUUUUUUCUACUCAAAUUGCAAAGUUAAGCUAACUUCAAGGUGUGAUAUAAAAAAAAGGUUAAAAUAUGCAUUUCAUCCCUGCAAAUAUAGUCCAUUUGAAAUUUCAUCCCUAAAUUUACUAAUCCUCCCAUUCUUUCCAUGCAAUUGUUAAUCACUUGAAAUUUGGUCCUAAUUACAUUUUUUUGCUGAGGUGGCAUGUCAUUACACGCAUGGCAGCGAUGUGGCGGACGCUGAGUGGGUUAUGACAGUGAUGACUAGGCAAAAGCCAUCAGAAAUGACCAUGUUACCCUUAUUGGAACCAGAACAAAGCAAAAUUACUAUAAUACCCCCGUCUCCUUCUUCCUUCUCCAAGACAUAUGUUCAAUCUCUUUUCUUCUUCUUUCUCCAUAAACGGCCUAAAAAACGCAAGUCCAAACACCAGUCGAGUAAUCCAAAACGAAAUUUCUGCCACAUCGAUGACACAAACAGAUCUAACAACCAUAUAUAAGUUCGUCGAUGGAUUUGAGUUUGACGGUGGCGCCGACGAGUGUGUCGCAGUCAGAGACUUUGUUGAGCUUCAAUAUGUUGACUCGUUUAUCCUAAUUCCACAUUCCCAUUCACAAGCAUCGAUUCGUGCUUCCAAUUUGCGCUUGUAUCAAUGAAUUUUUUAUUCCGAUUCAUGUACUUGCUUACAGGUGAGAUGGAGAAAGCAUUGGGGUCGUCUGUUUGUAUCAGGAAAAUAAAAAAAAGGAAGUCAAACCAGCGUUUUUGAUUCCCCUUUUCAAUGAAGUGGUUCUGCAGGACGACAAUGGGGAUGGUGGUGGUUGCAGGAUGUAGGCGCGGCAACAAGAGGGUCUUUGAAGGGAGAUGGGUUUUCAUAUGGGUUGACGAAGCGGAUUUGAGAUGCUAUAAAAAGGGUCGGCGACAAUAACGCUAGUUAUGAUUCGAUGACGAAGAAGGAAGAAGGUGAUGGUGUAGGAAAUUGGUUCGAUCCAUUAAGGAAGAAGGAAGAAGAAGAUUUAAGCGGAGGAAGAAGAUGAUUUCAGAGGAGGAAGAAGAAGGGAAAUAACGUCUUUUCCAUGCUGGUUUGAUUCAUUAAGGGCAAUUUUGUCUAUUCAUGCCAUUUUGUUUGAGUCAGCAGUGUUAUGGAACAGUCAACAGCUGACACGUUGCUAAUUACCCUCCACCUCAGCAAAAAAAUGUGAUUAGGACCAAAUUUCAAGUGAUUAACAAUUGCAGGGAAAAAAUGGAAGGAUUAGUAAGUUUAGGGAUGAAAUUUCAAAUGACCUAUAUUUGCAGGGAUGAAAUGCAUAUUUUAGCCUAAAAAAAAGGAGUGGCAUUAUGGCACAACAAUCGACCAUGCCCUUUUCUCCCCCAAUAAUUAAUAUAUAUAUUUUUUUUUUAUAAUUCUUUAGCUCAAGUUGUUAAUGAAUUUCAACACAAUUUAUAUAGAAGAAUUAGAGUUUUAAUUCAUUAAAAGAAACAAUAUUUUAUUUUACAAUAAGAGUAUUAAAAAAUGUUGUAUGAAAAGGGUCUUUUUCUUACUACUUUCGUUUUUUGUUUUGAUUGAAUCAUACGAAAAACAGGAAAUACAAUCAUAAUUCAUAAUAAUGUGAUUCCAUUUCAGGUAAACACAACACAACUGCCUAUCAUCCUGUCCCCUCUCUCUAAAUUCUUAAUCUAUUAUAAUACUGGUACUAUAUUUUAUUUAUUUUGUGUUGAUAAAUAAAUUGAAAUUGAGAUCCCUUUUAUUUAUUUUACCUCUUUCCAUUUUCAGGUCUCAUUUUCAAUCUCUUUGAAUGGUUUUCUUUGCUGCUUCAAACUUCUUCUAACUAUGGCUUGGUGGAAUUUCUUAAGACCCUUCUCUCGUUUUCAGGUCAGUGAGCUCACAUCUCUAUGCAUUUCUAUACUUUCUUCAUCAAAAUAUACCAACCUCCUCAUGUAUAUUAAUCAAUCCUCUCAAGAUUCUCCCAUGCCAAUUUUUGUGUUUGCUCUGCUUGGAUGGUGAGGUUGGUCCUCCAAAUCAGACUGUCCUAGUGUCAGAUACCGAGUUGUUCAUAUUUGGCGUCCAACUACUAUCCCAACCAAAUUAACUCCGGUUCACCAAAAAGUUAAUAUUGCGAAAAAUUAUGAGUCAAAUUAUUAAGAAAUAUUUAGAGACCAAUUAAGAACUUUACGGUGUUUAACAAACUAUGUAACUAAACUUAAACAAUUUAGUGGAAAAAGGCUUGAUUGUGGUUAUAGUAUAAUCCAUAGAUUUUGAUGUGCAUCUUUAGUUACUAUUUAUAUGGUCUAGUUACUGUUAUACCCAUGAUUCAUGUUUAUAGUAAUGUUUGUUUGCCUUGCCGAAUCAUGUUUUAGAAAUUGGUAUGCUUAUCUGUUCAAUAGAAGAACGAGCUGGUGCAUCAGACUGUUUUGAUAUCAUAUCUUGCUGCUUUUGUAGUUGACACGAGAAUCAGCACAAUGUUGUCCUUUUUCUGGCUAAAUUUUGUUCCCUACAUAUAUAAUACAUUUGCGUGCCUUUAGUUCGUUGUGUUAUGAUCCUUUCCUGAUAGGAGGAAUUUAAGUUAAUUGAGGUAUGAUGUUUUCGGAGUCAUGUAGUUCAUCAUUUACUUUUCUAGAAGGUGAUUUGAUUAAUGAAUUCUUGGCUUGAGCUUAUAACUCUUUUGAGCUUAUCUAUCUUUUUGUGAGAAUUGUGAUUCAUGUAAACUGAUGCAUUAUGCUUCGCUUGACCGUUUUUCCCUUUAGGAUAGUGACUUCAUUUUGUCAUUAAACAUACACAUACUAAGUAAAAAGUUAUAGCCAGAUAUGCUGGAAUUCCAUGUGAAUAAAUAGAAUUCAGAUUUCAGGAAUGUUUAAGAAUCUUAUGUGUUACACAAAGGAUUUUUAUAUUUUGCUGCAUUGUUCAGCUUUCAUAUAUAUAUAUAUAUAUAUAUAUAUAUAUAUAUAUCCCUUGUGGUAAUAAAAACAAGAAAAGAUAGAACUAAUAAUGAGGUAUUUUCAUGAAGUUUUAAGAAUCUGGGUAUUUUCAUGAAGUUUGUCCCUGAAAGUGUUUUUUUGAGAUUACCUAGGAUAUAUGGAGGAGUCUGGGGUUCUCUGCUAUGACUGGUGCUCAUUUUUCAUCCGUUAGUUUUCCAUUGAUAGACACAAAAAAUGAAGAGGUAUACAAUUUAAUUAACAUUUUCAAUAUCGUCUCAGACCAAAUAUAUAUGAGUAUAACACUCUAACUUGAUUCUAGUAUUUUCUUAAAGAGGUAGUUGUGGAAGAGGGAUUGAUAUUCAUUUGUGAAUAAGACUAUGUAUUCUCCUAUAUCUGUAUAAUAACUAGAAUUCGCCAAACUCUUAUCUAUACUGCUUUCUGUCAGUCAUCAGUUUAAAAUAUGUUGCAUAUUUCCAGCUUGUAGUUGAUUCAGAUUGUUUGCUAUGUUUUUUAAGAUCCUUGCUAGAAAGAUAGGACUUAUGCAGCUUAUGAAAUUAUUCUUGACUUUUAUUAGUGAAGAAAUUCCCCAUCUAACUCCAGUACUCCACCAUAUUGCCUUCUCUGUGGAUUUAGACCAGUUUCCUAGUGCACUUUCACCUUUAAAUAUUCCAAUUCUAAUUCACAGAUUUUGAGGGAAUAUGUCUACAAGUGUGUCAAUUGCAUUAUCCUUGUAUUGUAUCAGUAUAUGAAACGUGUCUACAUGGUUGAUAAUUGCAUUAUCGUUGUAGCAGUAUAUGACGAUAGAUUAUAUACAGCAUGUUACCAACAAUUCAAAUUUUGCAGAAAAAUGCUCUUAUUUUAUUUUAUUAUUUGCUUUGUUAUAUUGAAAUGAUGGACAUGGUGCUUAUCAGAGAUUGAAAUAUGAUCCGAGUUAAAAGAGAAAACUCCUCACAGCUAGAGGAUGUCUUCUCUGCUAACGGUCUAAUACUAGGACUACUGAAUAGAAAUUAUCAAUGGAAUGCAUCCUAACUCCUUACAAAAUGGUGAUGAAGUUAUAGAAGAAAACAAUGAUAAACCUCAUAGGAAGGAACCCUGCACCCUUUUUUCAGACUUUCCCAACCAAAAAGGCCUCACAAUUCUGGCCUACGUCUAUUAAUCCCACCUCUUGAAUAUAUAGAAAUGACUAUCUCUUUCUCUCCACUCAUAAAAUGCCAUUCUCUUUUAUGCCCCUAGCAGUUUUCCUCCAUCCCAGACUCCAAUCUGUCGCAAAAUCAGAAUAUUAUACCAUUUAUUCUGUUUCCUUUGUUAUUACCCCCUCUGUCCCAAAAUAAGUGUCGUUUAAGAUUGUUUCUCAAAGAUUAAGAAAAACAAUGAACUAAUAAAUAAAUGUUACAUUUUUACAAAAAUGCCCCCAUUAGCUAUUGGUUAUUAUCAAUUAUCGUAAAUGCAUAGUGAGAUUUGACAACUAGAAAGUAGUGUACACAAUAUUAGUUAGGGGUAAAUUUGAAAUAAAUUAAUUAAUAUUGCAUUAAAAUAGUAAAAUGACUCUUAUUUUGGGACAAGUUGUUUUUUGUUGAAGUGACACUUAUUUUGUACGGAGAUAGUAUAUUUUUAGAAAGUCUUUUAUUGUUAAUAACUUUUAAUUAUGUUAUGAAUUCUGUAAUUAAUGUAGGAUUCUAAUUCUUUGCAUAUUAAAGAGAGAAAAACUCUCUAUCAAACUUAUUUCACUAUUACCAGCAACUGAUCUCAACUGUGGUUUUUCUGAGAUCUAGGAAUUCAGACAGAUGGAAGCCCAGCUUGGUGCACACACUAUGAGAUCUCAUGGAUAUGCAGUUGCUAAAACACAUUUACAUGAUUGGAUCAUUCUAUUGCUCCUUGUAUUUAUUGAAAUCAUGUUAUACUUGAUCUAUCCAUUCUAUCGCUUUGUUGGGAAGGAUAUGAUGUCUGAUCUCAAAUAUCCACUGAAGAGUAAUACAGUUCCUGUCUGGGCCGUUCCUGUAAGUUCGCUGAUUAAGAUAUAACACAUGUAAAUGUAUCUUUCUUCCUGAAUAAUUACUCUAACAUUGUCUUUUACUAUCAUGGUUAGAUGCUUGCAGUUGUAUUGCCUAUCGUGAUCUUUCUUGUUGUUUAUAUCCGAAGGAGAGACAUCUAUGAUCUUCAUCAUGCCGUACUGGGUAUUAACUUUUAAAACCCUUUAUUUGUUUGAUUUCUAAGAAACAAACUCUAUUUGCUAAACUGGAACAGUUAAAGUGGAUGACAAGAAUUUAUUUUCUGGUAUAGGUCUACUGUUCUCCAUUUUAGUAACGGCAGUGAUAACUGAUGCAAUAAAAGAUGCAGUAGGGCGACCUCGACCAGACUUCUUCUGGCGAUGUUUUCCAGAUGGAAAGGAUGUAUGUCUUCCUUGAAUUUUAUUUAGUUCAUGUUUGUUUGAUAGAUUCCCUGGUCAAAGGCAUAUUUAAUUGUUAAUGACUUCUUUUUAGGUUUAUGAUAAAUUGGGAGAUGUCAUUUGUCAUGGUGACGAGAGUGUCAUAAAGGAAGGACAUAAGAGUUUCCCAAGCGGCCAUACUUCAUGUAUGUAGCAUUUACUACUUAUGACUGGUUUUGCCAUGCUCAUAACUUAGUGUAAUUAAGUUUCACGAGAAAUGGAUGGUUGAAUUAAUAAACUCAUGCAAAGCAUGUUUACUUGAAUUUCACUUUAUUCACUGUUUGUUUAAGCAAUUCCAAUUUACAUAUGCAGGGUCAUUUGCUGGUCUAGGUUUUUUAUCAUUGUACUUAGCUGGAAAACUAAAGGCAUUUGAUCGCAAAGGUCACGUUGCAAAACUUUGCAUUAUUUUUCUACCACUACUUGCUGCAUCACUUGUUGGCAUCUCUCGAGUUGAUGACUACUGGCACCACUGGACGGACGUGUUUGCUGGAGGUCUUAUAGGUUAGUCCAUUUAUCACAUCUCAAUUAGUUGCAAAUUAACUUAGUCAAACCGGAAAUAGAUAAAACUACUUUUAGUGUUUGUUGGUACAUGACUAUGUGAGAUUUCUUCUUUCAGGGCUUGUAGUAGCUACUUUUUGCUAUUUGCAGUUUUUUCCUCCUCCUUAUCAUCAUGAAGGUAUGCCUCUGUGCAGAUUCUUUUAGAUAAUAUUGCAUAAUGUAUUGGAAAAUGUUUGUUUUCAAGUCUUUCUAUAUGCAUUAUUACUAUACUCCAUUUACAUGUGCUUUGAACUUUUCACCUCAUUAUACACCUUUUUCUAGAGGUUUUGGCUCUUGACACUAAUUCAAAACCAAUUGCAUACCUAGAUACGGCAGACAUUAAUUCAAAGAUUUUUAUAUAUCUGUAUUAUAUGAUAAUGGGGAGAAAUAAGCACUAUAGAUAUGUUUCAUAUUUGACAUAAUUCAUGGUUCAAGUUCAUCGAAAGUUAUGGUGAAUAAUCACGACUUAAAACAAUUUCCUGUAAAAAAAGACCAAGUUGAUGAAUUUAAUUCUGUUAUGAACUAUGGUGACAAGUUGACAACCAUCUGAUGUUGUAGAUAAUAUAUUGUUAUUCUCUGCAGGUUGGGGUCCUUAUGCUUAUUUCAGGACGUUGGAAGAAACUAGAGGUAUGACACAAGCUCCUAAUGCUCAAAAUGGUAAUCAAGCACAAUUGGCCCAAUUAACAGAAGCUCAAGUUGAGAACCAGGAGGGACAAAGUCACCAUGGGUGCAUGGGGUUAACUUUAACAGGAAAUGGGAAUCCAACUUCAACAUUAGAAGAUGAACUUGAAUCAGGGAGAAGAUAAAUUUUGUAUAUGUUAAGGUCUUGCUCUUUGUAAAUCAUAUCCUAGUAUGUUUUCUACACGGUUGUCACUACUAACUUUGAAGCAUGCUUAUUUUUGUCUAUAAGAGUCAAAUUUGGAACAAGCUUUGUUAUAAGAUUCCUCUAUUAAUCUACUUGAUAGCUGAUUUAGUGGCUGUUUGUUUUCGUGGUGGAUCAGAUGUUGAACGCCCGUCAAAGUGGAAGUUACAACUUGUAGCUUUUAUCAAAUUACGGUAAAAUUACAUCAGUGCGUGAUUUGAAUUGUACAAAAGCUUAACCAAGCAUAAGCUUAUUCAAACACAAUUUCAUCAUGAAAAAUAAAAUGAAAAUACAAUGUUACCAAAAAAUUUGAAGCUGAUAUUUUUAAGUGAAUUGAAUUUUGGUAAAAUGACAAUGCCUUUUUUUUUAAAAAAAAAAAACAGAUAUAGGCAUGUAAAAGAAUCUCAUUAUGCUUUUUUAUUUUAUUUUCAACGAACGCAAAUUUAUAAGAAUUUGUAUUUUUGCAUAUAUUAGAUAGUUUAUUAGAAGAUUUCAUACUGGGUCAAUGCUCAAUCCUAUCAUACUCUUCGUCCACCUCUGGUACCAGUAGUACGCAUUCAACCUGCACAUCACAAUGGCUACAGCCAUAGGAUCCUUGUGAUCUCAAACGCCUCCCAGCACUCAAUAGUCUCCCAACGGUCACCGAUUUCCUCCAUUGAAAAUGGUCGUUUGUAACGGUUUUACCGAACUCCCCAAUGAAGAUCUCCUCAGCCAUAUAAAUAUACCCCUUCACUACAAAGCAAUGUACAUUAAUCUCUACUUAAAAACCUCUCACUCUUGCUCUGUUAGUAUUGACUUGAGCGUCAGAUUGUAUGCACUUUGCAGGUAUACCCAAUUUCCAACUCGGAGAUUGUUAUUCAAGCUUGACCGACCAUUCUUGAUCAUUUCCAAUUAGAAGAGAAGCAAGCAGAUUUAUAAAUAAAACUAUAACAAAUGUUUGCUAAAAUAAAAUGAAGCUAUUGCAAGGGUGUAAAAUUAUUGAGUUUUUUUAUGUGGUACCGGUUGUUCUGAUAAAAUAUCAGCAUCAGGUUCAAGGUUCAUGGAUUAAAUCAAAUCAAAUAAACCAUAUCAUCUCAUAUUGUACAAAUGUGCCGCUGGACAAUCAAUUUUCCACAAUUCAACAACAAAAGCAAAAAACAAAAGCAUAAUAAGACAAUGUUUGGGAAACAAUGAAAAAACUACAAUCAUAACUGAAAAACAAUGGUUUUGUUAGUAUCAGAAAAACUCUUCCUAGAUUUUGCAGACUUACGUGUCUGAUAAUCAAAACUGUAACCAAUUCCUUGACCAAAACCAUAUCCAAUACCCAAUCCACAACCCAUUCCAAGACCAAAAACGAGGUUAAGAUGAUUGAAGGGCCCACCUCCUCCUCCAUAUCCAAACCCACCAAGCAAACCGAAACCUAUUCCAGCACCGCAUCCAAAGCCAGCUCCGAAGCCAGGACCCAAUAAUGAUGUUUGAGGUUUUUGGGGUUUAGUUCCGAGGAUUUUGGUGAUUGAGAAUUGGUUUUGUUGGUUGUUGUUGGGAUUCCAUGGCCACGAUGAAUCAGUGGUGGAUUUGGAUUCCAUUGCUUCGUGAAUGGUUACGAAUGGCCAAGACGAAGGAAAAAAAAAAUGGUGCUCACUUGAUGUUUCCGCCAAGGGAUAGGGUUUAUAAUUUGUGUUUUGGGUGUUUAUUUAUCACUUUCCUCUACUCUAAAAUGUAAUAUCCCUCAUUAUGUAUAAUUAAUCAUUAAUAAAAAAUCAAUUUAGUUUUUUUUUUUUUUUUUUAAGGAAUCAAGGGUUAAUGUAUGAUUACCUAAUGUAGACGAGUUUCAAUUUUCGCGUGUAUUAUUUUCUUUUCAUGUGGAAAGGUUUUGUAAUUAUGAUUUUACGUAUGGAUAAUUCUCAAUUUAGAAUAAGGUUAUUUGAAAAUAACUCUGACUCUAACUGUGUAACUAAGUUGUUGUUGUGACGAACUCAACCAACAUUUUUUGUUUAUGUGGUACGCUAACUAAUUUUUUUAAUUGAUAGAAGCAAGAUCAGAGUCUUUCUUUCCCAAACCUUAGUCAUCACCACACCUAUCUUCUUUUUAUUUAUAAAAGAGGGGUGAUGUAUGGUCAAUUUUGAUCAAAAUCACCUCUCUUAAUUGUUUUUCCUUCUUUUUUUAGUUAAAUAAAUGAUUUUCAUAUAUUUUCAGUAUUUAUUCGUUUGCUUUAGUGAUUUCGUCAUCUUCGCACGACUCUGUUUGUUUUGAUUUUCCGUCUUAGUGUAGUAUUUAUUUGAUUCAGAUUGAAAGAUUAGCUUUGAAUAAGUGUAUAUACAAUCAAUGAUUUUGAUGUCGUCAAUGUUGCAGAUCUGAAGGCAUAAGUAUUCAUGAACGAAACAUUUUACCCUUAAUGAAACCAGACAAUAGCGAAAUGACAAAAUUACCCAAGCCUUCUUUAAAAAGCAUAAACCUAGAAAUCCUUCAUCUUCAACCUAAACACAAACCCAUAAGAAAACUAAAAAAACAAGUCCAAACAAUGAUUGUUUAGAAAGAUUGAUAAAUUCAAUGACGAAAACUCAAAUGACGUAUAUUUGCGGUGAUAAAUUACAAACAUAAGCUUAAAUUAUUUUACCUCAGAAGUUUAGUAUGUAAUCAAGUAUCUUGUAACACUUUUUAGUGAAAAAAAAAAAGUAUUUUGUAACACUUUCCUCAAAAGCAAAAUACUCGGGGUUGAUCCUCUCCAACUCCAUAUAUCUUAGCUUGUAACACUCUUUUCCAAUAUUCACAAAUGAGUGUCACAAAUUUCUAAAAUCAAUUUCACAACGUCAAAUUUAAUUAUCAUAUAUGGAUAUGCUAUUGCUAGUUAACUUUUGAAAAGAAAUUAAACAAGGUACUCAAUUUUUUUCUUCUCAAAAAUAGUAACUUUUGUUUUUUUGUUUUAAAAGAAAAAUUGAAGGUGAAGUAGUAUGCAAAAUACAUAAUAUGCAUCAAUUUAAUAUGUCGCAUAGUCAAAUACCAAACCCGUAGGCUUAAUACAAACAUUGAUCAACAUAGUUAAACAUUUUAAAUCCAGAAUCUUCAAAAUACUUAAUAUGCAUCAACUUAAUCUUCAAAAUACAUAAUAUGCAUCAACUUAAUACAUGUCACAUAGUAGUCAAACUCGUAGGCUUAUUACAAACACUGUGAUCAACAUAGUUAAAUAUUUUACAGUGAUCCAUAGAAGUUAAGAUCUCAUGAUAUCCAAAAGUGACUUUAGUCAAACAUGGCUACUCAAAGAGAGAAGAGUUUCAAGAGUAUAAAAUACACACAGUCCAACUGAAAAUAAUACUCUUAAAAUAAGUCAUCAUACAAACGAGUUAAUCACCAUUCCUGGGUACUCGAGAGGUAGAAGCUUCAUUGAUCACAUCUGGAUGUAAAGCUCUCCAAAUCCUCUCCAUUGGUAGACCCACCAACUCGAAAGUAAGGUACUCCACCUUCGUGCUCACAAGCAAGCCAUCGACCUCAUUUGUAGUGCGAACAAGGCCGGUGUAAACCAGAGUCUCACCUUUCAGCUCUCAAAUUGCCUUACACUGACCAUCCUCAAGAAACUCUAUCUUGCUGUGGCUAAUAGGACCUUCUGGCAACAUCUGCAGCAAACAUCAAACAUUUAUACGUACACAAAUUUUCCAUGUAAUUCAGAAUAGGAGACAAAAAUAUCUUAUACAUAAACUUCAUAAGAUUCACACAACACAUGUAUAAGUUUGUCUUUUGACCUACACGAUCAUUCACAAAUAUACGAAACUUUCGCGUUUAUAUUUUCCUACUUUCAUAUGAGCAAACAAACACAUAACUCGUUCAUUAUCUUUAAAAUUUAGUAGUAAUAAUUGGUCUUACCUCAAAGCUUUUCAAAUUCACUUGACAAAUUACUUUACUCGGCUUCAAUAUCACCUCUUAUCAAAAUAACAAUCUUCAUAAUUCUCUAAAGCUAACAGUGGGGUUGGUUUACUUUAUUGAUCCAAGUAGCUAGACAUUGUUCAUCAACUUUUGUAGAUGGUAUGCAUGUAAAUUUAUAAGAUUUAAGUUUUAAAUUAUUUUUACCUGUCUCUUUACCUAGUCAUUACAGUCCCUCAAAUAUGUUUUUUUUUAUUUAAUUAUUUUGGUCCUCAUAUGUGUCUUCUCUAGUUAAUUUCAACAUCUAUAAUUAAACAAUUUUGAUCUUUACUUUCAAAUCAAAUGGAUGAGAUCAAAAACCGUGUGACGUAGUUACUGUACCAAAUCCGAAUCCGAAAUAUUAACAAUCUUUGAUAUAUAUAGUGAAGGUUUGGAGAAAAUAUUAAAAAAUAAAAAACAAAGUAGCGGUUGAAAUUAGAAAACAAGAGAAAAGACAAGAGAAAAGUCUUAAACUAAUGGAUAAGAAAACAAAUAAAAGUAUAUUUUUUUCCAAGAAAAAUAGGAAAGGAAAAACAAAGUGAGCAGAGCAGUAGUAUGGAAGCUAGUGUAGCAUUUUUACUUUUUACGAGAGGAUCCAUAUAGUAAACUAAGAAGAAGAAAAAAGUGGGAAAAAAAGAGAGGAAAAGAAAGAAACAUAAACAAUAAACUUUAAGGAAGGGAACUAUAAAAAAGAAAGUAAAAAAGAAAAAGACCGAAAGGAAUGGGACAUGAACAUGAAAUGAAAAGGAAAACUAUGAAAGGAUCCAAAUCAAAAAGGAAAAAAGAGUAAGAAAACAGACAUACCUUUGGAUCGGUUGUUGUUUAUUGGUGUGAGAAUGUUGAAAGGUAAAGGCCAUAUUUAUAGCAAAACUAAGUCAUAGUUUCAUUUAGCUCAAAAUAUCUGAGGGACUUCCUUAUUCUUUUUAAUCUGAUAAGAAUUAUAGUAAAAUUUGAGUUGGUAAAGUAUUAAUUGGCUAUCUUAAUUUUUGAAGGGAAUUGGUUAUCUUAAUGUUAAAGGUGGUUUUCUCACCUAAAAGUUAUUUGUAUGUAUUUACAUAAAACUUUUUAGACAUGUUUUCAAUCUAAACAUUUUAAGUUAAUUUUUAAAAUAUUUUUAAAAUAUUUAUAUGACAUGGUUUAAUUAAAUGCAUAUGUAAUAAAUAUAUACAAAUUAAAUCAAUAUUUAAAAUAAUAUUUUACGUAACUUUGCUUAAUUUUUGUAUUAUCCCUUCAAUUUAUUGAAGAAGAGGUUUUAAUAAUCUAAGUUUUAGAUGAAAGGUAAGUAAGUUUCAUCAAGAUUUCUCAAUUCAAAAAUUGAAUUCAAUUUAUUUUAAAUAAUUCGUUCUUGUAUGAAGUUUACUGAUCACUUGAACACAAUCAAUUUGUUAACUUUGCUUAAUAUAAUUAACUCUACAAACCAACUUAGGUUAGUCCAGUGGUAUUGGUUUGGGACCUGGGAGUGUGCUCAUCGUCAAGGUCUUAGACUUGAUUCUCUUUGGUGCCAAUUUAAGUGGGUUAGUUUAGUUUUUUUUAAAAAAAAAAUUAACUCUACAACAUUAUAAUUUAAUUUUUUUAUUGUCGCAUGAUUAAACCAAUACGAGAGUAUUUUGAAAGUUCUAAUGGUAAAAUAACUAAGGAAUCUCUUGAUAUGAUAAAACCUAAGUUCGAACCGUAAUUUCUCUCUUCUCUUCGCAUAAUAUGUGUAAGCUUUGUCAUUAAACUCAUUAAAAUAAACAUAAAAAAUCAUUAAAUUUAUGUAGAAAAAAUCAAUAUAUUCUACUUCAUUGUUUGAUCUCAAAUAUAAAUUACACUCUCUAAUUUUGAAAUAUUAGUAUUAUUUUCACCAAAACACUACUCUUUUUUCAAGAAGUUUUUACUUUUUUUUUUUUUUGGUACACUAUCAGUGUCACACCCAUUUUGUAAUCAUGUUUUCUUUUAUGAAAGAAAUGAUGGCCAAACGUGAAGAGUUAUACAUAAAUCUAUUACGAAGUUAUGCACAAGACUCAAACUUUCUAAAGGGAACAGCAAUUCAUGCGUAUUUCAUCAAAGGGCAUAUCCCAUUUACACUUUUUCUUCAAAACCAUUUACUUAACAUGUAUAUUAAAUGUAAAGAUCUUACUUCUGCACUCCAACUGUUCGAUGAAAUGCCUGAAAGAAAUGUCGUGUCGUGGUCUUCUGUAAUGACGGGUUGCGUCCAUAAUGGCGGUGCUUCCGAUGCUCUUUCGUUAUUUAGUUGUAUGCACCGUGAGGGAUUCGUGAAACCGAAUGAGUUUACGUUUGUUAGUGCUCUUCAAGCUUGUUCGUUAAGCGAAAAUGUGACGCAGGCUUAUCAGAUUUAUUCGUUAGUGGUGAGGUCGGGACUGGAGUGUAAUGUCUUCUUGCUUAACGCGUUUUUGACUGCAUUAGUCAGGAAUGGUAAAUUGACAGAGGCUUUGCAAAUAUUUGAGACAAGUCCUAUUAGGGAUACUGUAACAUGGAAUACUAUGAUGGGGGGUUACUUGGAGUUUUCAUCUGAACAGAUUCCAGUAUUUUGGAGAUACAUGAAUCGUGAGGGUGUAAAGCCGGAUGAGUUCACUUUUGCUAGUGCCUUGACGGGGUUGGCUACGAUCUCCUCUCUUAAAAUGGGAAUGCAAGUUCAUGCACAACUUGUUAGGAGUGGUUAUGGGGAUGACAUUUGUGUAGGGAAUUCUUUAGUUGACAUGUAUUUAAAAAAUCAAAAGUUGGAGGAGGGUUUCAAAGCAUUUGAUGAGAUUCCUCAUAAAGAUGUAUGCUCUUGGACUCAAAUGGCUGAUGGGUGUUUACAGUGGGGGGAGCCAAGGAUGGCACUUGCAGUCAUUGCAAAAAUGAAAAAAAUGGGCGUCAAGCCAAAUAAAUUUACCUUGGCAACUGCUCUAAAUGCUUGUGCCUGUUUAGCUUCAAUGGAGGAAGGGAAACAAUUUCAUGGGUUGAGGAUCAAACUUGGAAGUGACGUUGAUGUUUGUGUUGAUAAUGCUCUUCUUGACAUGUAUGCAAAAUGUGGAUGCAUGGAUAGUGCAUGGACUGUUUUUCGAUCCACGAAUUCUCGUUCAGUUGUCUCAUGGACAACAAUGAUAAUGGCAUGUGCUCAAAAUGGCCAACCCGGAGAAGCUCUUCAAAUUUUUGAUGAAAUGAAGGAAACGAGUGUAGAACCAAAUUACAUCACCUUCAUUUGUGUUCUUUAUGCAUGCAGUCAAGGCGGGUUUGUUGAUGAAGGUUGGAAGUAUCUUUCGUCCAUGGAUAAAGACUAUGGAAUCAUUCCUGGAGAAGAUCACUACAUUUGUAUGGUGAGUAUCCUAGGCCGGGCUGGACUUAUCAAAGAAGCUAAGGAGUUAAUCUUAAGAAUGCCAUUUCACCCUGGUGUUCGGGUUUGGCAAACAUUGCUUAGUGCUUGUCAGAUUCACGGGGAUGUAGAGACUGGGAAACUUGCAGCAGAACAUGCUAUAAAACAUGACAAAAAUGACCCGUCAUCUUAUGUAUUAUUGUCCAACAUGUUGGCUGAAACGAGCAAUUGGGAUUGUGUGGUGAGUCUGAGAGAGCUAAUGGAGACAAGGAAUGUAAAGAAAGUACCAGGAUCCAGUUGGAUUUAAAUAUCAGGAAAACAUGGUUGAAGGUGAAGUUGGUUUAGAAGAUUAUUUCUCCUUCCUUUUGGUGUUUGUGAUCUAUCCAAUGAGCUUAAAUAUGGAGCUGAGAUAUAUACAUAUACAUGCCUCUUCUUCUGAAUGUAGUAUGGGCAUUGAACAAAUAUAAGCUCAAUUUUGUUAGGAUGUUUUCACCUUUUGGAUGUUAUUUUGUCCAUCUUAAUUUUUAUAGCAAUUUUUAUUUUCUGUAUCAUAAGAAUUUCAUCAUUCUUGAUAGUUAGGUUAGAUUGGACAUUCUAAUGGUCAAUUCUGGCGUGUAUUAAUGAGUUAUAAGGACUCAGGUUCUCUACGGUCAGAGUCAAAACACACAAUCACUCAGUCAAGGGGUCUGGACCGUUUAAUGAAGAUCAGACAACUUGUAUUCUAAAUAAACCAUAUUGGAUUUAGAAUGCAUCAGGGAUUGCUGCUUAUGCUUUGCAGGAAUGUGAGAAUUUGAAGAAAGAAGCUUUGGGUUCAAAUUUGGUAAUGUACAUUUGUUUUAGGGCAUUUGGUAACUAACAUGUUUUGUGUCAUUUGAUUUAUUUUUUUUAGUUCAAGAUUUAAAGCCUUAGUGUUGGGACCGAAUGUUAAAUCACUGUUACUAAAAUUAUCCUUGUUCAGUCCAAGAUUUGUAACUGAUUUUUGUUCAUGAUUCCUGAGAAUGAAUUAUGAAGUGAAUAAAAGCUUUGUACUAAUGCAAACUACCACAUGUAAAGCACAAGAUUUGGGGAUGCUUUACUUUUGUGCGGACAUUUUCUUUUCUUUCAGAGAAUGGUGUGUGAAUUCAUUUGAACUUUGCUGUCUUGUUAACUCCUAUGUAUGGUAUAUUGUUCAAGGGAUGCUUGAUGAAGAAGGUUUACAUGUAUAGGCUUUCUCGUUAUGGAUACAUGGUGAAAAUGAUCUGGCUCUCUAUGUAGCUAGAGUCUCUCCGCAACUCUUUCUUCAAUGGGAAAAUACAUGUGGUGGCAUAUGCAGCGGUUUCAUUUUUUGUUUCUUUUUCUACGUGUGUUCUCCUUUUUUAUCUUAUUUAUCGUGAUCCCAACUUGCCGGGCACCCUUGAGGUACAUGAUGGAACUGGUGACUUAAGAGAACUAGAAAUAUAUAUGAUGAUACUCCAACAAAAGUCAUAAUCGAGACCAUUGGCGAUGUAGACGCCUAUCAACUUAAUGAUGCUAAGCCCAAACGUUAUAGCAGGUAUGAAUAUGAGAUAAUUCAUGCUUUUGAAGUUUGUUUGUUGUGGAUUGUUUUUGUUCUUAUGAUAAAUUAUUUUGGUUGCCUCUAAAUUUGCAAUUGUUAACUGAUGUUUUUGUAUUAUAGCUGCAAAUUAUGCUUGCUUUUCAUUUCGUUUGCGGUAUGCUGCGGUUGGUAUCACAGAGGAAGAAAGGCAAAUGAGAUGUGAAGAGAGAUUAUCUACAUGGUAAAGACUCUUAUUCGUGAUCCACACAUGAUACAUGACCAUUUGAUCCACUGCUAUUGAUAAAGCCAAAAAUGCAGUCCGAUCUCAACACAUUUUGUAUGGCAGCAACCUAUUAAGUUAUUAACUACCCUGAAAUGACUUUUUGAAUCCAGAGCGAAUUGAAAUUUUAUCACAGUUGAUUUUCCGUGUUAAAGAUCGUAUUAUACUACAUUUAGUUUUGCUGCUCAGAGAGACUAAUCAACCACAAUGCAAUAUUUGAGACCCUCUCAUAUAUCUUGCAAGUGGGUACCUCGUUUUUAUCCUUGGAUGCCAUUCACUUACGUUAAAAGGAUCAGUAAAUUCUAUUUGCUUCCUGGAAAAUUUGGCGCUGAGACAUUUGCUUUGCACUGAAUUGGAUUCUGAUUCCUGACCUUUGAUACCACUACUCGUUCUUAUUUUUAUUUUUCCCUCAGUUUGAAGGACUUCAAACAAUUUAUUGAUGCAAUGGAAGCAGUUAAGGAUAAAAGGGUUGUGGUUGCAGUGGCAUCUCACGUGCACAUAGAUGUGGCUAACAAGGAACUUUCCAGCUUUUAUCAUGUAAAGAAAUCACUUUAGAUUCAGGAUGCACUUCUCAUAAGUUUGUCCUGCCCAAUACCCCCACCUUAAUAUUUUAGGAUUGCAGAAUGUUAUUCUGAUCCUUAGCCAUGUUUAAACACAAUUAUUUGUUGUGUUAAAGCUUAUUAAGUAAAUAAAGAGAAAUAAGAAAAAGUGCUACUUUUAUUUUCACAAAGAAAUACUAAGAACUAUUCAUGCUCAAUACUAAAAAAAUGUUACAAUUGAUUUUUUUUUUUCAUUAAAAGAAAAAGAAGAUACAAUUGAAUCGAUUCCUUAACAGAUCCUCCGUUCAAAAAUAAAUAACAAUUCUCAACACUUCAUGAUGAAGAAUCAGGUAGAAUUUUUACAAUAAAUUUUAGAAAACAAAAUACUACAUGGAAUAUAGUUCAUGUGAAGCCACCAAGGUCUUAGAAAUCUCAAAUAUAAGCCUAGCCUCAAAUGCAUCACCAGAAUAACCUUUAGAAUUAGACACUUGACGAGCCUUUGGAAUCCGUUUCAUACCAAACUUGUUAUCAGUAUUAAAGGCCCCUCCUACAUUACCAGCCAACUUCAACAUAAAGUUCAUAUACGUAUUCUUGACUUUUGUCAACAAUUUCAAUGGUGAUCUUAUCAUCCAUCUUAGCUUUGGGCUUGUUCUGAUCUUCCAAUCCCUACGUGGACUUCUCAUCCUUAUGAUUUGCAUCUUCUUCCGUCGGCCGGCGGUUGUUGUGCCGUAGUCGAGACGCCGAUAGCCCCGUCUGCUUAAGUACCUUGUUAUUUCCAUGUUUUGAAUUGCUUGAACUUGGAAGUGGUAGUGUAGUGAUGAAUGAGAGGAUGAAGUUUGGGAUGGUUUUCUCACUUUGUGGGAAUGAAUAGAGAUUGUUGCUUGAAUUGACUAUGCUAUGCUUACUGGAUUAUAUAUAAGAGUAAAAUAAAUCAAUAUACCACGUUUAAUUUUAUUUUUUUCGUGAAUUUAUACCACGUUUAAUUUACUCAAAACAUAGGAAGCAGAUACAUAACGUAGUUGUGCAUUAAAAAAGGAUAUAUAAAUGGCUGCUUUUGACAAGUAAAGUCAACAAACAACACUUUGACACAUAAUAUGUGUGAAUGAACAAAUAUGAUGACCAAGACCAACCGUACUUUCAUUCCUUCCUUGAAAUAGCACGUGGGAAAAGUAUUCUCUCUUUAAGAGGAGUGUUAUUUGAACAACCAUUUUGUAGGAUAAUUUGUGGGACAACCAAAAUAUAGAAAGAAAUGU
rnacentral:lncRNA from 1 species